rnacentral:lncRNA from 1 species
GUGCAGCAAAUUAAAGAUGUUUAAUUAAACCUCUCUAAUCUUAAACAUAAGUAGUUGAGGUGCCGAAUAUGUUUGGAUCGAUCCAGUACCGUAAGUAACAAGGCAGCUUCUUCUAAUUAAACAUAUCGUCCCGUCUGGUUAUUUCCGUUUGCCAGAACGCAACCUCACCCAUGAUCACAUAAUUAUCCACCAACAAAACAAUCGUUGCCAAGGUCAUAAUCAAGCUAUCAUCAGACUGUCCGUGCUCUCCGCGGACGGCAGCUGCUAUAACCUCGUGAUAAAUCCAUGACAUUGCAACACCAUUUUCCAUCAAGAAACGAUGUGCGGGACCCAAAUCUGCACUACGAAAAGCACCACGAAAGAAGUUGAGCAGCAAAGGUAUGUAAAUCGAGAGAAGAAAAUAAUACGCAUUGAUGCUUAAAGAGAGCAGAACGCCGGCCCGCCUGCUUUGUGUGCAGAGAUGAGAUAAAGCUACUACGUAUUGUGCCCAGUAAAAGAUCGAAGAAGCUGAUUCGAUUCUGAUGCUGAAUCCCCAGACCAAGACUAAGGUUGGAGCAAGGGUUGCUAUGCCUGCAUAUUCAGAGCCCAAAACCUCCGCGAACAAGAUCAUCCAGCUGUUUAAGUUUGUGAUGAGCAUCAUUGUUAACAAAGAUGACAUGUCGGGAAGAAGCUCAUGAUUGUGGGUUGGCCAAAUAGGCAUUUUCCCUCUUUUUUGUAAAUUUUUUUCUCGGUAUUGUAUGUAACUUGUCUGUUUGGCUUCUGGGAAAACAAAUAUGAGAGGAGAAAGUGAUUGGAGAAAAUUAAGCUGAAUUACAUGAUGAGGGUUGAGGCAGUCCAAACCAUGUGCUUCUACUCUGUUAGUGCAUUUACCUAUCUCAUAUAACAAAUGGAAAUGGCAGAGAAUUCAAAUUAAAGCUGCACAAAAUGGGAAACUGAGGUAUAAAGUGCUGGGUGGAAGUGACAAAUUAAGGAAUUUUAAAGGUCAUAGUCAUCUCAAUUUAUAGACUUCAUUAAUGCCAAUAUCUUAUUAAUUUCUGAAGUUGAAAAUUAACAUAUCGUUGACGAUGUUGAGCUGUACAAAGCUCGUUACUCAUUCCAGUCACUUUAUUUCUCAAAUUUAUGAUCUUUCAAAAUCUUCUCAACUCCCACUGUUAUUGCUGUUUUUUCUGUUGAUCAAUUAAAAUUCAUUUCUUCUGUUUGAAUGCAGGCACAUUUAUUUUUCAUCAAUUUUUUUUAUUUACGCAUAUCUAUAUUUUGAGUAAUUGUAAAAAAUUAUGUAUGGGAAUUAAGAAUUAUUGUUAUGUUAUUAACCAAACUCUCAAGAUUUUAAAUGCAGUGGAAAGUUUUGUAUGUUUCAAUUUUAUUUUUAUCAAUAUUUUUUUGGAGAAACAAUUGUUGAAAAAAAAAAGUAAAAUAAGAGAGCGAGAAACUUUUGCCAAAAAUUGAAAAGGAGACUUGUACUCCAAGUUAUUGCUAUAUGCCCACACAUAACACAAGCGUAAUGUAUAUCUCCAUAAUUAAAUGAUGAAUGAUUAUUCACGUCUCUUGUAGAAGAUGAAAAAUUCAAGAACAUACCAAUAAGUUUGAAAGAAGAAAUACUGAUUAGAUGUGAAGAUGAUCGGUGUGAACUUAAACGUGUUAUUGGAUCGUUUGAAAUCUUGUGUUGCGAAGAUGGAUAAAAUAUUGAAGCUAAUCACGUCGAUGAGUGAACAUGAUAAAAUAAUCAGUGUUCAAGACCAUUUGAGCAUUUUACAGUUUAAAUGCAUAGAGAAAUUGUAUGAUGAAUGGAGUGAUGAUGCGAUAGAGGCAUCGAUUAAUAAACUAAGGUUACUUGAUUUUAACCUAAAAAAGACUCACUUGCCUUUUGAACUUUGUAAAGGCUAAUAUUUAACAUUUAAUUUCUCCAAUAUUUUAAUAGUACAUUUGUCUAUAUCUACAAGUGAGGUUUAUCAUGAAUAUAGAUUUUUAAAUUGUAAGAACCAUGAUUUUAUAGUAAAAAAAAAAAAAAAAGAACACAACGAACGACAAAAAUAGAUAAUGAACACAUAUUCUUUUAAAAAAUUUAAAUAAUUUAUGUCUAAAAAAAUAACAAUCAUAACAAGAUCAUGUUCUUUUUACCUACUCACAAUCAAUAAUUUUAUGCAUUCUAAUAAAAUAGUAAUAAUUAAGUCAAAUAAAAAUAAAAUAAGCUCAUGAUCAACACCAACUACCAACAGAGACAACAAAUAUUUUGUGAUAGAUUGUGGACAAAAUAACGUAUAUCAUAAAAGCAUGCGAACUCGUGAUGGAAUUACAGUUUAUGAAGGAUUAAUGACCAACUUUGUGAUAGAAUUAUUGACAAUCAUGAACUUAAGAUAUGGUCUAAGACAAAAAAUUAUAUUAACUAUUAUUUAAAAAUAAGAAAUGAAACGGUGCGUUUAUGUAGUGCUCGAGUAAAAACACUCCGGUAUUUUCCAAGUCUAAACACAGUCAUCCUCACGGUAACGGGUCACAGCCUCACUAUUAAAUCAUAAACUCAAACCCUCACUCGAUCAUUCAAAUUUCUAUGACGUCACUGCGUAUAUUACAAAGCAAAGAGAGUUACCAUAUUGCUAUCGUUCAGACCUCAAUGUUGCCGCCGUUGUGCCAAUCAUCUAUCGGAGUUCUUGGCGAAGAGUGGUCGGGAUUUGCUCCCCGGUCGCUGGAGGCCCCAACACUGGUGAGAUUCGAUGUGACACAGUGGAAUUAGCUGUGAAGCGAUGAGUUAGUGGUGGCCAGGGUUUCACUUUCGUUUCCCCCAAACCAGUUUUCUUCCCAAUUCCCCAUAUGCCCCUCAUGUAGUGUCAUAUUAUUAAUCGAUGGUUCAUGUUCUUUCAUUUCUAUUUCAUAACAAAUUACUUUUAAAUUUAUAAUUUAACUUGGUAAUUAAAUAUUUAUUGGUUUAAUUGUUGCAAUUCGAGCUGGAUUAUGAGCUGAUGGGUUCCCUCGAUGAGAAUUCAGCUCAGUCUCUUGAUCAACUAUGGGACCUCACAGUAAUACCAACUUAUUCAGCCUUUUCUUUUGUCCAUAACAUACGAAAAGGAACUUGCUAACCUCCCCGUUCAAUUUCACAUUUUUGUUAAAACCUGGAUUUUAUUAAUUUUUAUUAUUUGUAUAUGUGCCCUAUGGUGGAGUUACUGAAGAGUUGAAAGGCAGUUGUUAGAAAACAAAAAAUUAAUAUUCAAUUCCUUAGUUCAUCCUUGACUUGGCUUCCAUGGCUUUUUGCACAAACCAUGCUUGACUAUCGAAAUUAAGGAAUUAGGUUGGAUAAUGCUUAGAUGGUCAAUAAUUAGCCAAACAAGACAAGUAAUAUCCAUUGGUUGAUGAUGCGUGAUUACUGGAUGGGUCAUCUUAAUAAUAGUGCCUUUGAUAUUAGGUGUACUUUCUUAUUUGUUUUGGACUCAUCCAGGGACCAGAAGGCAGAGGCUGAGACUAAGCCUUUUAUGAAAAAUUCUCUGUCCUAGGUUAAGUUUGGCACUAUUGUGCCGAGUAAGUUGCAUUAAUUUCUUUCACUCUCUGUGUUUUUGAUUCCUUGAUCAGUUUUCAAUAUGCAAAGCACUGAACUUAAAUUUCUGUGACUGUGUGGUAGAUUGACUUGAGUGGAAAUUUGCUUUCAAAUUAGAAGGUUUGCGUUCGUACAUUUUACAAUUUGUAAGAGCUGCUCCAAAUAUGUUUUGAUCUGUACUCUCUCUUUCGCCUUUGUCUUUCUUGUCAUACAUAAGCACAAAAAUUAUUAUCAUCUAUGUGCAUUGAAGGAGCUUUAGCUUUAAAUUUAUUAGCUACAAAACCUGCGUUUUCUGCUAGAUAACCUUUUAAAAAGCACGGUCAUAUUUAGCAUGACAUCGAUGCACAUAACUGGCUUUUUAGUCUUUCAAUAAAUUCUAAAUUUCUCAAAGCUAAAUGCAAUAGGUGAUCUCUAUUGGUUUGUUUGAGUUUCUCUGAUUAAACUUACUCUCCUUUUUACUGUAAAAUGGAAAUGAAAAAUCUCUUGAGUGCGCUGAGAUUUCCUACAAUUGGGUUCUUAAGUCAAGGCGUUGUUGAAUGAAAUGAAAUUCGCUGGUGGUGCAGUGCAUGCCAGAACAACUAAGCCUACUUCUACUCUUUAGUGGUGCAUCUACUGAAGUUUCAUUAUUACUGAUAGUGGAGAGCUGAGACAAAUUGGUCGAAAGUAGAUGUAUAAUUUCUUAGCAAUGUUUUGGUUCAUGCUUUGAUAUUUUCAUUUGUUUGGUAUUUCUUGAGAUUACUAUUAUUAAUAUAUUGGUAAAUGAUGUUGAUUAUUGCUAUAAACCACUAUUUGUGAGUAUACAUUAAGUGAUUGCUCUACAUAUGUUUUUCGUUUAAAAGAAAUGAUAGUUUAUAUAUACAAGCUUCUUUUUUUCUAUAUUUAAAAAUUUUAUAUCAUCAUUGUGGUUUAAUUAUGAAUUCUUUGCAGAAGGAUUUUAGCGCUGGAAUUUGGUGGACAUUGAUUUUUGGCACAGGUACUUUGCUGCUGGUGAUUACUCAUGUUGGGAUAUGGGGUUGAUGUAUUUUGAAAAUACUUCAAAAUACAUGUAUUUUGUUGUUUAUUUUUAUAGGAGGCAACACCAUAAUAAAAUAAUAAUAAUAAUAAUAAAAUUUAGCGUAAUUAUCAAACUUUGUUUAUAAAAUUAACCCACCAAAGAUAAUUUUUCCAAAAAUUAAUAGAAAAUUUAUUUUUUAGUGGGUUCAACUGCCACUGCACCCUUGAAUAUAGAUCCAUCCUGGUGACAAUGAUGUAGACAAAGGAGAGAUUGUUUGUCAUGCACCUCAUUUUAUGAUAAUUAUUUUUCAUCAUCGAAUGUUUGUUUUCUUAUAAUGCUUGUUAAUUUAAGAAUCAUAUGGUUAACUUUGACUGUGCCUAUUUGCCAUAUGGGCAAAAUUUUGCUAUUUCAUGGCUUAACUAGAAAAAAAAAACCUUUAUUGACUUAUUUUUUUAUUUACCUCAAAUUCAUCCGUCAUUUUCACUUAGAUUCUGUUUAGUGUGGCUUUAUAAAUAGCACUUAUUUACUGUAAGUAUAACUUUUGUUAGGAAAACUUUUACCAAAAUAAUUUUAGUUGUUUGAUUAUCAAUGAGAACUUUUAUUAAAAAUUGUAAAAAUUACUUUAUAGGUAAGUUUUUUUAAAAUUAUGUUAUGAAAUAAAUAAAAUAAGAUUAUAAAAAAUAAAACAAGAUAUUUUAGACAUUAACAUUUUGAAAAAGUUUUUCAAUCUUUGUGCCUAAAAGCCCAAAAUUUGAACUUUGCGAGUAAAGGUUAAAUAACUUAUUUGAUCUUCAAAAGUUUUACCAUUAAAUAAGUUAUACCAAACAAACACUUAAAAAAUUAUUUAUUAUAAGAAGUUAUAACAUUAAAAUUAAAAGUCCUAAAAUUUCCUUGAGGCCCUCCCCUCCCCCCCCCCCCCCCCCCCCCCCCCCCCCCCCCCCCCCCCCCCCCCCCCCCCCCCCCUCCCCCCCCUCCCCUCCCCACAAUGCACGUUAUUUGUUGUGGUUUGCUUAUAAGAAUAUUACAUUAGUUUGGACUUAGUGACGGUUCAAAUUAAACAAUGUGAUAGCAGGAAUAUUUGAUUUAGGAGAUAAAUGAUUCGGAAAAUUGCAAAAAUUUAUUACACUUUGAAGUGUUUUUUUUUUUUUUUUUUUUUAAGUAUUCAGCAAGUAAUUCUGACUUGUUGGACUUCCCAAAAAGUUUGAAUGCUUUUUAAGUCUUCCAUUCUAUAAAUUUCCUUAACCAGUGCACAUGCACGGGCCAUCACUCUAUAAAUCACAAGGCUGCUUUCAGGGGAAUUUAUUCUAUGGAAUUUUUAAACUUCUAUCAGCAUGAUGAAUUUCUUGUCCGCUUGAACCCGGCCACGCUCCCCACUCCAAACGAAGGCUCACUGGGAGACUGUACCGUUUACAUUCCUGUCUCUCGUAACAGUAGCAAUAUUUCUUGGAAUGCAAGCAAUGCUUUUGAAAUCAGUAGCUAAGUUUUGGAUUUUGAUUUAUUUUCUGGUUUCACAUGAGAAAUCUAAUUAUAUGAUCCAUAAAUACUCGAGCUACUAUCAUCAAGCUUUUUUUUCUUUAUUAUUUUUUUUCUAACUAACAAAUUAAUGAAUUCCAGCUGCCCUCCAGAGUUGCCCCAAUACACUUCAGUGAAGGAUUGUAAGAGAACCCUAGUGAAGUGGUUAGGGGAACUCCGGACAGCUGAAGAAGUAACACUACUCUUUCUCUUGUUGUCUGAAUGGACGUUGGCAUUGAGAUUACUUAGCAGGCCCGCUACUUAUACGGUAUUUACAAUAGUGGCCUUUGCUUUGCCCGUAAGCAUCAGAGAUUCGAGUGAACAAGUUCACAAUUCACCAUAAGUUGUCGGAGUUGAACCUGGUCAGAAUUAUGGGUAAUAUGAAAACGCUAAGGUUGUGUGCAGAAGAAUCACCACAAAAGUCUCCCUCCCUUUGUCCCCAUAUUUACCUUUCUAAGAUUUCUGUAUAACUAUCCAAAUUUUGCACGUGGGGAAUUAGCAAAAGGAUCAGGUAAUAUCAUGUAAAUGCAAAUAUGUCAAUGAAUUUGAGUGGUCAAUGUUGGUGUCAUAAUUCAUUAGGAAUCAAUCUUUGGAGCCAGCAGAGUUAUUCUCAGAGAUUUCAGGGUCGAUGGUAGAAAUUGAAAUAGGUGUGGCCCGGUUAUUGAGAUUAUAGUCUGGUACCACUUGUGCAACAUAGUAAGAUCAUUUGGUUUUCAUCCCUGAAGAAAUUUUGGAAAUGAGAGGCUUGAUCCAUUCAAAGGUAUAAAUUAAAGCUUGAAUUUGCACAUGGCCAUAUCACCUACACGGGUACAUCAUCAUUUUCUGCUCCCCGUGCAUAUCGCCCAAAGUUGCAUCCCUUUUCACUGCCAACAGCUUUAUGCCCUUAUAACUGUAACAAAGUAAGCAUGACACGGAACACAUGAUGCAAUUCUUAGCAUACCAGAGAGGGCUGGUGGUGCUGUUAUCAUGCCACACCCCACCCCGCCCGGGCGGCGGGCCCAAAAAUGUUUGAGGGAAAUCCUGUAGGCCUUAACAUGGUUUCACCACUGUCAAAACCUGAAAGUUUGGAUAUGAUUGGGGUAUUUUUUUUUUUUCCUUUUUCAUAGAUAAUUUUUUUGAAUUCUUUGCUGCAUAAAUCCAGUUCAGUUUCUUUUAUUUUACCGGUGAAAUAUAAUAAAACAUAAGGUAAAAUAAGUGUGUAUUCAGACUAAUUAACCAUGUACAAUCUUUCAAUAGACAAUAGUUCAUGCAGGGCAGAAGCAGAACAAAUGUUUGUGUUGGAUAAUCAAGAGCUGCUGCUGGACCUGCCGUAACUAAUAAUUUCUUGUAGUUUUAUCAUUGCCAGGACUUCAAAAUCUAAAACACACUUUGCUUUUUAUCUUCAAUGAAGUGAAUGAUCAGGAAUUGAUGGUCAAGUCAACGAGGUGACACAUUUGAAAGAGUAACCUCAUUAACAGAACAAACUUUGGCAGCCGAUGAGAAUUGACCUGGCCUUGCAACAUUUCGGCCUACGGAAAAUGCAGGUUCGGUUGGUUGAGGAAGUGUUACAUUAUCGCUUGCUAACAUGACAACCACAGAAGACAUGAUAGGUCUAUCUGCUGAGUCUGCUUGAACACACAAUAAUCCAAUGUGGAUAAAUUUCAAAAGUUCAGCAGCAACGCAUGACUGCUUGAGUACUGGUUCCAUCAGCUCCAUUGCUUCUCCUUCACACCAUAGUUUCCAUGUCUAUAAUAUUGUUAUACAGGUCAUAAACAAAGAUGAGACUCAAAAUCAUUGGCUAUUACUCUUCAGAAAGAAAGAUAGAAAGUCACUUACAUAAGAAAGGAGGCUUUGACCAAGUUCAGAUAGAUAAAACCCAGUGUUCUUUUUCCCACUGAUGAUUUCUAGCAGUAGAACGCCAAAACUGAAAACAUCCGAUUUUACGGAAAAUAAUCCUUCCAUAGCAUAUUCUGGGGCCAUGUAUCCACUGUUUGAAAACAGAACAACAUAAGAUCAAAUGCCAUAGAAAUGCUAAUGACCUAUGUGACCUCCGUAUUUUGAAUCUGGUGACAUGUAUCGUGAGGUCAGAUGUUCAAACCAAAUGCAAUAGAAUACUGUUAGCAAAUUUAAUUAUUGGAAACAGAGAAAACAGAGAGAGAUGGGAAUGAAAUGCACUUACUAUGUUCCAACAAUUCGGUUGGUGUUAGCUUCACUUUGAUUUCCACCAAAUAUCCUAGCCAUCCCAAAGUCUGAUAUCUUCGGGUUCAUCUCAUGAUCUAGUUAAACAUUACUAGCUUUGAGAUCACGAUGAAUAAUUCUGAGUCGAGAAUCCUCAUGUAAAUACAAAAGACCCCGAGCAAUUCCAUUAAUGAUACUUAUGCGUCGUUUCCAGUCCAAUUGUACACUCCUCAUUGAAUCUGAUAAUGAAUUGGACACAGCAUUUAACUUGAUUAGCUACUUUGUCAUCCACUCUUCUAUGGCAAGGAAGUGGGGAAAAUAAUGGGAAAUGGAAAGACUUGGCUACAAUUGCCAUAGUGCCCAGUAGUGGGCACAUAAUGUGCAAACCAUUUAACAGGGCCACUUCAACUAUACAAGCUGGAAUUAAACCAAAACAACCACUGGUUCUGCUUUUAUUUGCACAGCUUAACACCCAGCAAUUAAGGAAAUAGAAAGUCUGAGAAACAAACCAAAGAGGAAGACAUCAAGGCUUUUAUUGGGCAUGUACUCAUAUAUAAGCAGUGAUUCAUUUUCCUCUAAGCAGCAGCCCAACAGCCUCACAAGAUUUUUAUGUUGCAAUUUGGCGAUUAGAGUAACUUCAUUCUUGAACUCUUGUAGGCCUUGCCCAGAUGUUCUUGAGAGCCUCUUCACUGCUAUUUCCUUGCCAUCUGCUAAUUUACCCUGCAAGCAACUUUCCAUUCCUUGUUACCAUGAAAGUUUUGUAUGCGUACGGAAAACGCGAGCUUCCGCUGACAUGAACUCAUUUCCAAAUACUGCAUUCAGUGAAUACUUAGAUAUAUUUAAACAAGCGUACAGUAAAAAUGGAUUGGUAUGAUUAAUAAUUGCUUAAAAAGCAAGUGUUUAGUAAACUCUACUUUCUGUGGUUGGGAAAUUAAGUUAAUUUGAUCUCACACUUGUAUUAAAAAAAAUUAUAAUUUCUUUUAUAAUUUUUGUUAAAAUUAUUAUUUAAAAGUCAUAUAUACUUUUCAAAACUUUUAUUUUUAUAGUUAUAACUUUUUUUUUUUUUUUUUUUACAGUAGUUAUAACUUAAAUAAUAUAACACCUUGAUACGAAAUAAGACCUUAAGCAUCCCUUUAUAAUUACCUUGUAAACAGGGCCAAAUCCGCCUUCUCCAAGCUUAUUUUCAUCAGAGAAAUGCUGCGUAGCUUCAACUGCGAGAUGUAACGGAAACAAAGGGAACUCUUGAGAUUCUUCCUGCUUCUGUCCUCGUAAAACAUCAUACGAAUAGUCGUUGCCAAUUCUACCAUCUGCUAGAUGAAACAAUCGUGUCUCUUGACUAUUUGCUUUCUCCUCUGCAUAACAACGGAUUAAUUAACUUCGUAAACUAUGAAUAAGAACAAUGGAGUGGUCGAGUAUGUAUAGCUCUUUUAAUGCUAAACAUUACCUUUGACUCUCUCUUUUCUUCUCUUUAUACGCCAAAGUAAAAAACUAGAUAGCACAAGUACUAUAAUUGAUGAUGCCGUGGCGCCGAUUGCAAUCCAUGUUCUGCUUUCCUUCGUCUUCUUCUUUCCCGAAUCUAACAUGUAGCCAAUUUAAAGAAUCUCUGAGGAAAACUCUUUCUACAUCUUAUGCUAUGUUUAUAUAGAAUUAAGGAACCUGAGAUUUACGAACUCACCAUCAGAGCUACCAUUCUUCUUAUUAGGUGGAGAGAUGGGAGCUGUAGCGGAGCUACCAUUCUCAAAGAAAGGGUACAGCUCGUAUCUUAUGUUACAACUUGGCGUAAGAAUUCUACCACCUCGCUUUCCGUAGCAGCAGUUUGGAAUUUGAGCAACAGCCCCGCGCAGGCAAAUAUUGCAGUCUGAUUUAGACAGAUAUGGUAUGCACUGCACCAGAGUCGUAAGUUUACUAAUGCUAGUGGCGUUAACCGUUUGGGCUGCAGCUGGAUACUCAAAAUCCCUUGAGGUUACAUUUUGAAUUAGAUCACUGAAGGACUGGGUCAAAAUAUUAGAGAGAUUAUAAGGGUCAGUAACGUUCAUUGUGUUCCAUACGUAUACAGCUGGCACUGUGUCUAGCGAAGAGGGCAAAGAAUUGUUAGAGAAGCGCACCAUACACUGAUCAUACCAUACAAUAGCCUCCUUGGAGCCAGCACAAUUUUUCACAAUGGUAUUGAUUGUAACAUUUAUGCAAUCUUGGCAGGCCUCAUUAGAAACGUCAAAAUAACAAUUAUAAAGACCAUAAACUUUGUUCGGGUCAUCCCCUUCAGUUGCGUUGUAGAAUAGGGAAUAGCGACCUUCAUUGUUGAGCAUUCUGUUGAAGAGUCUGGCAACAUUGUACAAGAAUAAAUCGCCGGAAGGAGUAUCGCUUUCCCCGCGGCAGAUAUGGUAAACAUAAUUGGAGUCAAGUUUAGCCGCCUCUGACGAACUUUGUAACAGCACUAAAGAUAGAAACGAAAAAAGGUGAAGCAAGCUAACUAUGUUUCUAGUUCUCAGGCCAAAUAAUACGAGCAGAAUCGGCAUCGUCCCCUUGCUCUUCAACUCUGAAAAUUUUGAGUUCCAAUGUCAAGGGACUGAAUUAACACACAAGUAUCCAACUAGAAGUAAACAGUAUUAAUGGUGAAUACAAGACGAAUUAAGAUAAAUAGAAAAAUCGUGGGUUCCAACCCCUUUCACAUAACUUGUAUUGGGAUUGGAUUUUCAUUAAGCUACAUAAUUAAAAAGGAUAAUACAAAAAACAAUGAAAUUGAAAAGUCAAACAAAGGACCAUCGACAGUUUCCAGGCAUCUUCACAUCGGAGACUAAUAACAGGUGUCUUUUUUUUUUUUAAAUAAAUCCUUAAAAAUAAAUAUUUUCUAACUUAAAAAAAGUUUGAAAACUAAUUGAAUACAACCUUUUAAUAUUCUAAAUUAGUAUAUAUUAAUUAAUUUUAUUGUAGUUUAUAAUAUUUUUAUAUAAAAAAUAUUUAUAAAAAAUUAUACAGAUAAAUAAUGAAACAAGCAUAAUAGAGUCUUGCGCUGCAUGCAUGCCUGUGGAGGAAGUCGUCUACUUAACUAUUUGAUGAGAAAUAUCAAUGAAAAUGAAAGGAGUGCCAUUUCAAGGCUGCUCAACGCGGACCAACAGGCUUUUCGAAGACGCGAACCAGCCCCAAACAGCACGGAACUAGGCUGAGGAAGUCGUCCGCAGUUAAUGCAUGUAUGACGUAUGCUUUUAUUGAUUUAAUUCAUAGCGCAAGCUGAUUUACUAGAGCCGUGGGGAUAAAAGUAGACGUGAUCAGGUCACAAUAUAUUUUUAGUAUUUAAAUAGGAUAUGAAUAGAAAGGGUUUUCGAAAGGAUAGUAGAUUGAACUUGAAAAGGGCUUGUAAAGUGAGUCCAAGAGGAAGAAGGGCGUAGGCUGAAUUGAAUAUCCAAUUAGCUUCAUUCUCUUCUAAUCGGCUGAGUCCACUCGAAGCUUAUUAUAUACACCCCAUUGGUUGUUUACAAAGAUGUAGCCCUGUACGGGCACAGAUUGUAAUUAUAUACAUGAAUCGUGGUCAAUCUUGUCAGCCCUGAGCUGUCCUUCACUCUCUGGUGGUCGCUCUUCCGCUCACGAAUAACUCCCGCUGUCGCAUAGAAAAGACGCUGUCGUUUCAGCGACACAUAGACAGAGCUUUAUUCUUCUUCCUCUCGACAAUUGUUCAAUUUUUUUUUUUUUUUUUUUGUUUUAACUCUUUAAGUCUCUUUACACUUGGGGUUAGGGUUUCACUCAAAAUCUCCAAAAAAUAUCUUUAACUAUUCUUAAUUGGCAGUUCCUAAGAUUAUUCCUCCAGUCAUAACUGGCAGUUUCUAGGCAUCUUCGUUCUUCACAUCGAAGAUUAGUCAUCGUUAUGAAAUAUCAUGCAACUUUAACAUACGUUAGAUUAAUUAAACACGAAUUUCUGGAAAAAGAAAAAAAAAUCGAAUAUAGCAUUCUAAUAUAAAUAAAUAAUUUCAUCAAAGUGGUGAGUUAUAGUGAUGGGUGACUGCCAUCUAAUUAAGAUUGUAAAAUUCUUUUGUGUUCAUAUAUAAGAAAAAAAAAAAGUUCGAGUUCAAAUCCAUGUCAGUCUGUCACAUAGGUGGGGAGAGUAUUAAAUACCUGCAGUGCUAAAUAAUAACAUUGAUGUCACAUCUGUGGAGCUGCAUGUCUGUGGAGUCCCUACUUGAUUAAAUAGUUAUGUGACAGAAAAAACCCAUUGACCAUUCUAGUGCUCAAGAUUUUUAAAUUAUUCACCGGCCAAACUUAAUCAAAUGAACAGAUUCAAAACAAGGCAAAGAAACUCAAUCAAAUGAAAUUCCCCUUUAGUAAUAAUUAUACAAUACAUUUUUCAGUAUUAAAAUUAAUUAUCAACUAUCAAAUUAUCAAAGCCUACUACGUAGUGCGUACUUAUCCACGGAUUAAGAUGACUACUUUGAAAAGUUUCGUUAUAUGUAUUUCACUGAUGAAUCUGACGGUGGAUGACAGUUUGAUUGCGCAUAUUUGAGAGGUAAAAAUUAAGAUUCAAAAUGGAUCCCGCCCCUAAACAUAAGUGAUAGGGAAGUUAGCUGCUAGCCGGGCACCCCGACUCAUCAGUCAUGCAAUUCUCUAAUGAGUAAUUUUGCCGUCCGAUUAUUGUUAUACUUCAACAUGGACCAUGGGUUUGUUACUUACAAAAGACAGUUGGGGUCUGUUUGGAAAUAUUUGUAAGGUAUUCAAAAAUGAUUUCGAAAAGUUAGUAGUUAAUUUAGGUGUUUGAUUUUUUUUAAUUACUUUGGAGAAAAUUAUUCCAUGCAAAUUUUAAAAAGCUGAAAAUGAGUAACUUUUAAAAUUUAAUUUUGACAAUCAUUUUUUAUAGUUAAUAUAAUUUCAUAUAAAUCUUCACAUAUAUUAUAAAAAUUCAAAAUUGUCCUUAUUAAUUAGAAUAUAAAAUUAUUAAAUUUAAAGAGAUUAUUAUUAUUACCAAUUAUAUUGAGAUAAUAAAAUAAAAAAUAAAAUUAAUAAUAUAAAAUAUUUAUUUUAGCUAUCAUAUAUUAUAUAUACACAUUAAACAAAUAUUUUACAAACAUAUUUAUAAAUCUGUUAAUAAAUUUUAUUCAACAUUAUAUCCACUUCAGUCAUUUAUAUUCUGACAGCAAUUGAACUGUAGGAUUUAUCAACAUAUGACUACUUUUAAAACCUAUAAUACUUUAAAAAUAAAUCUUACUGAACAUUUUACUAAUUAUAUUCACAAUUGAUUAUUUCGACAAUGCAAUUAGCACUAAUUAUUUUAAAAGCUACAAUAUUAUCAAAGUGGCCCUUAGUUUCUCGGGCUUACGCCUAAUAUAAGAACGAGAUUCUUCUGGGCUCUCUUUUUAUGAGAUUUAUUUUUUAUUAUGUGAUUUUGUUGUUUUCCGUUGAUCAUUUAUCAAUUAACUGCAUUUUAGAAAUAUUUAUCUUUUUAGUUUUUAGGGAUUGCAUUGGAAUUUUUUUAAAAAAAUGGUUGAAAUAUUUGUUAACAAUGUUGAAUACGACCAAGUAAGUAAUAAUAAAUCAAUUAAUUAAAUUAACAUUGUUUAUAGAAAAAAAGUUUUUUUUUUUUAAAGUUUGAAAAGUUUUCUUUGAAAAGUAUCUACUUUGAAAUCUUUUUUUUCCUUUAACUAAAAGGCCCUUUGUCAAAUGUCUUGUCUUUGGGACAAGUUUUGUAUGUCUUGUAUGUAAUGACAGGUUUUCUUUCGUAAAUUUACAGAAUUAAAGUUUUCUAGUCAGAAUUUCAUCUUCUUGCCCUAUUAGUCAAGGGCAAUGUCUGAAGGAAAUCAAGAGUUUGAAAUUAAUACAGGUUAUGCUCAUAUCAGUUUGAAGGAGAAUGAACAACCUCAGAAUGUCCUACUUCGCUUUACUUCGUUUUGGAUUCAGAUUUACAAUCUGCUAAUAGGCUUUAUGUUUGAGAAAAUUUUGAAAGAUAUUGGCAAUUACAUAGGCACCUUUAUGGAGUCCGAUGAGCAUAAUUUAAUGGGGGUUUGGAAAACUACAUGCGCAUCCGAGUGUCCAUAGAUGUUAGAAAACCUCUUAAGCGAAGGAUGAAAUUGAAGAAGGCAGGCGGAGAUUGGAUUUGGGUUAAUUUUAAAUAUGAACGCCUUAAUAUUUUUUGCUUUAUUUGUAGAUUGCUUGGUCAUACUGAAAAGCAGUGCCCCAAAUUGUAUGAAUGUCCUCCUGGUGAAAUUGUGAAAUUUUAUGGUCACUAGAUAAAAGCACCAAAUAGAAGAAAUGCUAUGAAUUCCGGUGAACGGUGGCUGAGAUCAGCAUCGCCGAGGGAAGCUGACAAGGAAAAGGAAGGAAUGUGGAUGUAGUAGUUACCACGGCAAUUGACUCGAUUUUUUCCACAAAUCAAAGAGAUGAUAUACGUAAGAAUAUUGAUGGGAACGUGGAUGUGGGGAUCAUGGCAACCAAUAAGGAAGGUGAUAAUUUGUUGCCAACUAGGACUCUAUCCCGUGUGAAAGGAAAGCAAGUUAAGGGGACAACUGAUGAGAUUGAUUUCAAUAAGGAUUCUGGGGAUGAAAUGGAUGAGGGGAUAAUGGUUAAUGAUUCUAAAAGGAGAAGGUUACUAAUUGGGUCAUGCAGUAAAGUGGGCUUCGAAGGAGAGGUGUCUUCCUAAACGAUGAAUUUGCCAUUAGUUUAAAAAAAAAAGAUCAGCGGUGGGCCCUGUAGAUUAGGCCCACCGAGAUCAAUGAGUGUUUUAAGCUGGAACUGCCAUGGGCUGGACCAACACGGACAAUUCAAAUGCUGGAGGAGUUGGCCAAAUAAAAGAAACUGAUUUUUAUUUUGGGAAAAGGACACAAAGACCCCCAAUGUUUGAAUAAGGGACACAGAGACCCCCAACGUUUGAAUAAGGGACACAAAAUCCCCUAAUGUUUUAAAAAAGACACUCAGACCCCCAUUUGUUAACAGAAAUUAUAAUUUUAAAGUGCAAUUACCAUUAUACCCUUAUAGCAUAUUAAAAAAUAAUUGUUCAUUGUCCAAUUUAUUCCUAUAUUAUUAAUAAAAUUACGAAUAUAACUUCAUUAUCCAAUUUUUUCAUUUAAUUUUUGUCAAAUUUUCUCCUCAACUAAAUAAAUUUAAUCCAUUGCUCAAGAAUAAAAAUAAAUUAAAUUGAUUACUAAUAUAAUAAAAAUAACAAUUAUCAAUAACAAUUCUCCAUUUAAACUUAUAUAAUCAACAAAAUAAAAAAAAUUGGUUACAACAAUAAUUACAAAAUCUUAAUUGUACUAAAUAACAUAUUCAAUAGAUUGACAUAUGGAGAAUUGCUAUUUUUAUUAUAUUAAUAAUCAAUUUAAUUUAUUUUUAUUCUUGAGCAAUGGAUUAAAUUUAUUUAGUUUGAAGAGAAAAUUUGACAAAAAUUAAAUGGAAAAACUGGGUAAUGAAGUUAUAUUCGUAAUUUUAUUAAUAAUAUAGGAAUAAAUUGGACAAUGAACAAUUAUUUUUUAAUAUGCUAUAAGGGUAUAAUGGUAAUUAUACUUUAAAAUUAUAAUUUCUGUUAACAAAUGGGGGUCUGAGUGUCUUUUUUGAAACAUUAGGGAGUUUUGUGUCCCUUAUUCAAACGUUGGGGGUCUCUGUGUCCCUUAUUCAAACAUUGGGGGUCUCUGUGUCAUUUUCCUUUUUAUUUUUCUUAUUGAAACAUAGUAUAAUAGAAGAAAGUUAGAAAGCUUAAACAUAAAAUUGGGCUAUGAAGGAUUGUUUACAGUUGACCCAGUGGGCCGGAGUGGAAGACUUGCUCUCUUUUGAAGGGCAAGCAGUAAUGUUAGAUUAUUAAAGUUUUCUAAGAAUUGUAUUGAUGUGGAGAUUGAGUAUCAGGACAUGGGCAAGUGGAGGAUGAUAGGCUUCUAUGGGUUCCCGGAAUCUAGCCGCCGGUGAGAGUCUUGGGAUCUUAUUCGCACUUUGUCUGAUGUGUCUUCUCUUCCCUGGGUAUGCAUUGGGGAUUUUAAUGAUCUUUUAGCUAUUCAUGAGAAGCGAGUGAAGAAUGAGCAUCGAAAUUGGAAAUUGCAAGGAUUUAAACAAGCUGUUUCUGAUAGCGGUCUAAGUGAUAUUGGUAUGGAGGAUUACCAAUUUACAUGGGAACAGUCUCAGGGUACAGAGAAUUGGGUGGAGGAAAGGCUGGACAGAGUUUUUGCCACUGAUUCUUGGAUUCAUCGAUUCAAAGAGGCACGUGUUUGGAGUCUACAGUCUUCUACCUCAGAUCAUUUACCUAUUUUUAUGGACCCAAAACCUCUAACUCACUCUCAUAGGCAUCGAAGAUUUUGGUUUGAAAACAUGUGGCUUAGAAAGGCUGAUUGUGCAGAUGUGGUUCGGUCUAGCUGGUCCUCCUCUCAUGGAAUUCCAAUUCAACAAAAACAUUUAAAUUGUGGGAUUGCUUUACUUAAUUGGGGAGGUCACUUAGCUUGCGAUUUUCGUAAUCGUAUUUCUGAAUGUAGUAGGAAAAUGAAUCUUUUACGGGGGCGUCGUGAUUCAGCUGGUAUUGAGAAGUUUACUGAGGCCAAGAAGCGUUUUAAUGAGCUCUUCCAUAGCCAUGAGGUUUUCUAGAAACAGAGAUCAAGAUGCUUUGGCUAAAAGAAGGGGAUAUGGAUUCUUGCUUCUUCUACGCUACGACUUCAACAAGAAAGAAAAGAAAUUCUAUUACGACUCUCUGAAAUGCUCAAGGACAAUGAUGUACCACCUCAGCUGAAAUUGAUGGUUUGAUUUAUGAUUUCUUCUCCAAUUUAUUUACUACAGAUGGUUGCCAAAAUGAUUAAGUUUUAAACUGUGUGGAGACAAAGAUCACUGAAGAGCAAAAUGAGUUGCUGCUAGCGCUUUUUACAACAAGCGAGGUUAAAGCGGCCCUUUUCGAAAUGCAUCCAGAAAAAUUACUAGGACCUGAUGGUAUGAAUCCUGUAUUUUACUAACAAUUUUAGCUUACUGUUGGUGAGGAUGUGACUGCAGCUUGUUAGCAUUUUAUUACUACUUGUUCUCUUCCGAUGGGUUUAAAUGACACAUCUAUUGUAUUGAUCCCUAAGAAACCAAAACCUGAGAUGUUGUUAGAUAUGAGGCCUAUUGCUUUAUACAAUUUGUUGUAUAAGAUUGUAGCUAAAAUGCUCUUAAACAUAAUAAAGUCAGCCCUGGGCUCUGUAAUUUCUGAAUUUCAGAGUGCGUUUGUGCUGGGUCGGGCCAUAACAGACAAUAUCCUUAUCUCCUUUGAAAUUAUGUACUUUUUGAAAAGGAAGCGGCAAGCUGCUCUUAAAAUUGAUAUGUCGAAGGCCUAUGAAUGAAUUGAAUGGGAAUUUUUGAAAGCUAUGAUGCUUAGACUGGGGUUUGAUGCUAAAUGGGUGAAGUUGAUUAUACUACGUGUCUCUAUAGUCCGGUAUCAUGUUAUUCGCGAUGGGAAGGAGGUUGGACUUAUUGUUCCAAGUAGGGGACUUCGCCAAGAGGAUCUUUUGUCGCCAUAUUUAUUCAUUCUUUGUGCAGAGGGUCUCAAUGCGUUAAUCCGUAAAUAUGAGUUGGCUAGCUUGAUUCAUUGGGUAAAAGUUGCAAGAGGGGCUCCUGUUGUAUCUCAUUUAUUCUUCGCAGAUGAUUGUUUUCUGUUUUUCAAAGCUAACCGAAGUAAAGCUCGUUUGAUUAAGCACAUUCUUGUGGCUUAUGAUCAAGGGUUAGGACAGUUAGUGAACUUUAACAAAUCUUCAAUCUCUAUUAGUUUGAAUGUUAAUGAAGAUGUGAAAGGGUUGAUUUGUACUAUUUUGGAGGCUAAUGCUACUGUUAACCGUGGCAUCUAUCUUGGCUUACCCUCUCUUGUUGGCAGAAACAAAAAAGAAGUUUUUCGAUUUAUCCGAGAUAGAGUCUGGCAGAAAUUUCACAGCCGGAGUAUGGAGAUGCUGUCGAGAGCUGGAAAAUAAAUUCUGUUAAAAACAGUGGCUCAAACUAUUCCGAAUUAUGCCAUGCAAGUUUAUCUUUUGCCUCUUGAUCUUUGCAGAGAUCUAGAAACUAUGAUGAACUCAUUCUGGUGGGGAAACAUACGCAAUGGUGGAGGUGGCAUUCACUGGAUGAAAUGGGAAUUGCUUUGCAAACCGAAGUCAAAUGGAGGAAUUGGCUUAAAAAAUCUACAUGACUUCAAUGUGGCAAUGUUGGGGAAACAAGUUUGGAAACUUCUAACGAAUCCAGAGUCUCUUGUGGGCCAAAUAUUCAAAGCUCGAUACUUCUCUGGUACAUUCGUUGUAGAGGUGGUUUGGGUUAUAAUCCAAGUUUUGUGUGGAGAUCUCUAAUGGCAGCUAAGCACAUUAUUGUUCGUGGUAGUAGGAUCCAGGUUGGCAAUGGUCAGAACAUUACUAUUGGGUCAGUUCCUUGGUUUCCAGAUACAAAAAAUUGUUUUAUUUCCACCAGCUUACAUGAGCGGAAAACAACAGCACCAGUCAAUAGUUUAAUGAUUCCUGAGCAACGUCGAUGGGACUAUGACGCAGUGGUAGAUUUGUUUAAUGCUCGAGAUAAGAAUUUUAUCUUGUAAAUACCCCUUCGUACUCAGAGGGAUAAGGACGUGUGGUAUUGGAUGGCAGACCCUCAUGGUUUAUACACAGUUCACAGCUGUUAUAAAAUGCUUAAUCAUUGUACUACUGCCCCAACAUCUGGUGUUUGGAGGAAAAUUUGGAACUUGGAGGUGCUUAACAAGGUGAAGAAUUUUCUUUGGAGAGCUACAAUGAAUGUGUUACCAACAAACGAUAAUCUUAUUCGGAAAAGUAUUGAGGUAUUGCCUAUUUGCUCCCUCUACAAUAAUCAGAAUGAAUCUGUUGUGCAUGCUUUGGUGAACUGUGCUUUUGCACAAACAUGCUGGAUUUCUUCUUCACUUGGAUUUGUUGGUCAUCACCCUUCAUUUCUUAUUUGGCUAGAUCAAGUCUUUGCCCGCUAUAGUAAGGAGAUGUGUAAUCUUGUUGCCAUGAUAUGUUGGAAAAUCUGGUUUUGUAGGAAUGAGAAAGUUUGGAAUAACAAAGUUUGUAGUGUGCAUCAUGUCCUUAAUUAUACUGGGAAUUAUUUGUUUCAAUGGCAAACUGCGAGAAAACAAUUUGUUUUCAUUAAUGAUGAUUCUUUCCAAGGUUGUCAUGGGGCUGUUUGCUGGGAUAAACCUCAUCUAGGUUGGCAUAAGUGUAAUGUUGAUGCUGCAACAUUUUCAUCUCAGGGGAAAGUCAGCUAUGGAGGAGUCAUUCGCAAUUCUGAUGGGGUUUUUGUUGCAGCAUGUUGUGCGUGUGUGAUUGGAAGUUUUGGCGCAAGGGAUGCUGAAGCGCUUGAUGUGCGUGACAUCCUAAGUUGGAUUAAGUGGCGACAGCUGUCCUGCGUUGUUGUUGAAAUGGAUUGUUUUUAGAUUUUUAAAGCUCUCACAGAGAACUAUUCUUGUCUUAAUGGUUAUGGCCUAAUUCUUGAUGAUUGUAGAGCUUUAGCUCAUUCUAUAGGAGAUAUUAAAUUCUCUUUUGUCUGAAGGUCUGCGAACACUGCUGCCCAUGUUGUUGCAAGGGUUGGGGGGUUCUUUGUCAGGCCCUGUAGAGUGGAGUCAUAUUACACCAUCCUGGUUAACUAAUUCUCUGUAUUCUAUUUCCAGUUAAUGAACUUUUCAAGUUUUAUUCAAAAAAAAAAAUUGUUUACAGAUAGCGUACGCAGAGUUAAGGAAUCCAAGAAAUAUACUAAGUUAAUUAUUGUAUUCAAUUUUUGUAUGAGGCCUUCAUCUUAGUAAUGCUAAGGCGUUUCUAAUAUCAUCAUUUUAUUGUCGCUGGAGAAUUGCACUGCAUGCAUUAAAUCCUGGAAUCAAAUUUGAUGUAAAACUUUAUUAAACCCAAAAUCCAAAUUUGAAGUAAAAUGCUAUUAAAUCCAAAUUCAAUAAAAUCACAUAUUAUUGUUUACCGUUCUUUUACCUCUCACCUUCACCAUCACCAUCACCAUCGGAGUAUGUAGAGACUCAAAAUAUGGAUCUAUAAAUUGUACUAUACUUUUUGGUGGUGACAGUAUCGAAUCACGUCACGUGCUUCUUUGAUCAUUAAUUGGAGACACAUUUGAAAGAAAAAAAUAAGUUACUUUUACGUUUAAUUGUCUCCAACAGUUCAUUAGUAUUUAUCUGUAGAUAUAAGUGACUGGGUGAGGUUUACUAGGUUUAUUGCGACUAUAGAUUUUAAGAUGAUAUAAAAACUAUGCUUCUCAAGUCAAAAAAGAAAGGUUACAGAAAGAGAUUAUGAAAAAAAAAAAAAAAUCUUUGAAAAAGGUUAUUAUAUUUGUACAAAAACUAAAAUCAUAUAAAGUUUGUCUCUUUUUACUUACUCACCACUAAUAAUUUUAUGCCUUCUCACAAAAUAGUUAUAACUAAACCAAAUAAAAAGAAUAUCACUGAAAUUUCUAAGUAAUAAAUAUUCCCGUAUUUAGAUACCCAUGAUUGCUGAUUUAGGAGUCAUAUAGUCUUUUUUUUCAAAGUGCUCCAGUAGGACAAAGUUUCUCACUACAGCUCCAUAGAGUAGUUCAUCUGUUAACUAGAAAUGUCUAUAUAUAUAUUUAUAGUCAAGUUUGUUGUCAACCUCUACUCCUCGCUCUUUUUUUUUUUUUUUGAUUUAACUGGGGCUCUAAAAAGAGCUAAAGAGAAACUGAACGGGGGUAAGAAACCUCAUAAAAGUCAUGAGACAAAAGAGAUCGAACACCCAAAGGGGGGUAGGGUACACAAUAAAGCCAAGAGGAAGAGAAAAAGCGAGGUUCGCCAUAUAAUCUGCAGUGAAAUUGGCUUCUUUGUAAAUAUGGGCGAUGGAGACAUGCCAAUCCAAUUUGAGAUAGUCCUUAAUAGCCUGGACCAAGGGAACAUACUCAUUAGUCAUCACCGAUGAUCUAGCCACCAAUUGAGUAACGCACAGGCUAUCUGUUUCAACUUUCAAUCUACGGAUGCCUGAGUCCCAAGCAAGCUGAAGCCCCUUAUACAAUCCCCAAAGUUCUGCCACCGUAAUAGAGCAAGAGCCAAUCAUCAUCCCAAAGCCAGAUAUCCAACGCCCUAAGUGAUCUCGAAUCAGACCACCUGCAGUAGAAAUCCCAUCAGACUUGUGAGCACCAUCCGUAUUCAAAGUACACCAUGGCCACUCAGGAGGAUGCCAAGAAAUCCACUUAUUUAUUCUAAUGCUCCUUGUGACCAACGGGCUGUUAUGAAGCUUAUGCGUCUCCUCUACUCCUCGCUCUUCCUUGGCCAUUAGUAUGAUUUCAAGAAUUUCAUGAAACGGUUUUCCAUUAAUGAUAAUCACCCCAGUGCCUGGACCUACGCUACCAGUUUAUAUCUCAACUUGGAUUCAUGAUCUUUUUGUAUCUAAUCGCAAGGCUGCUUUCAGCGGAUUUUAUUUAUGGAAUUUUUAAACCACUAUCAGCAUGAAGAAUUUUAUUUUUCCUACAAGUAUGAUGACUUUCUUUCUUGUCCGCUUGAACACGGCUAUAGGCCCUAGUCUAGUCCGAGGCACAACGGAAGACUCCACCGUUUAUGUUUUUAUCUUUCGUAAGAGUAGCAACGUUUCUUGGAACGAAAGCAAUUGCUUGUUGAGGUGACGAUAGAGAUAGUACUCUUAUUGGACAGCCUUCGUUGCUCUUUGGUUGGCACGAAGAUAACAAAUGCUGUGUCUGGUGUCCAUCCGAAGGCAAUUACACUAUAGAUAAUGCUUCUCUCGCUUACAUUGUUGGAGCUGCUUUCUCUCCGAAUCUUGGACCGUGUGAUGUGAUGGAUGAUUGGAAGCCUUCUCCUGAUGGAAUUCUACUGGAAGAAAUUACUACAAGUGACGAUGAAUGUGUUGUGUACAGAUGUUUUCGUGAGGCUUCUGAGGUGAGAACAAUUGAACGGUGGGAAGUUGAGUGUUGUGGCUGUAAGUCAACUGAGGUAGGGUCAGGCAAGAAGCGUUGAGACGAUUAACGAAUAUGAUCAUCGGCCUGUUCGGAAUAUUAUUCAAGAAUUUAGGCUCAUUGACGGGACUUAUUAUCGAUUGGUUGUGUUUAGUUUUCACCUGCAGACAAGGUCCAGCGCCCUGACGAUGAUAGCCAUGAAAUAAAUUGCAUGAGGUUGUUCGAUGUUAAUUUCCGUCAGCAUUUGGGAUUUAUUUCUGUUUUUGUUUUGUGACCAAGAUUGAGAAACAUGUCUGCAAAAUAUGCUAAUAAAAAUCUUCGUUUGAUGAGAGAUUUUCAGCUUUUUAUGAUUGGCAAAUCCCUUGGAAUAUCCAUUUGAGGAAGAAAGAAAAAUGAAUGUAACUUCUUACCCAUUCAAAUUAUUGCAUGGGAAUAAUUCAUCAUUAAUGGAUAUACACAUACUUGAAUAAAUUCAGCUUAACAUUUCAACUACAACGAUGAAGUACCCGUACAGAUUGCCACCUUGAGACUCAGUGUGUAAAAUUAAGAAUGAAGGUGUUUGAUGGAAGUGAUGAAGUGUACUAUGAAAUGCCACAGUGAGAUUAUUUUUGUGGGAAGACGAUAAUUAGAAUUUAGCAGCUCAAGGUACUCUCGAAUCAGCUAAACAAACAACCUCUAGAAGAGCUUUAUAGAAUACACUAGAAUACUGAAGAUGAAGCCAUGAAAGAUUGUGAUUCAUCAAAGCUUAAAUGCAAAAUGUAUCAAGAGUUCUUAUUUCUAAUUGUAUCAAUCUAGACCCAAUCCAAGCCAUUUAAAAAAUAAUAAAUGCAAUUUAGUGUAUAGGCUUAGACUAAAAAGCCUGCAAAAUCACUUGCCGGAAAGACAAUGAAUUUACCGCAUUUGUGGUUUUUUUUUUUCUUUGUUUCUAGUUAUUCAUUUACUGCUUUUUUUUUUUACUAGACCGUCCAUGAAAACAUAUCAUAACUUGUGAUAUUAUUAUUUUAAAAUAAUAGGAUACUCACCCAUGAAUGAUGAGAUAAUUUAAUUCAUAAAAUGUUUCAAAAAUUGUAAAAAUUUAUUAUUAACUUAAUAACAAUCACGUGACUUCGAAACAGUUCAUUUAGUCCUUGCAUUCAUUAGCUGCUAUGCUAGUGCUCUUCAGUUGAGAAGAUGAAUGGGAUUAAUUACUUCGAACUUCCCAAAGUUGAAUCUCUUUCUUCUUCCCCUCUAUUUCAAGCCUUCACCCCAUCAACUUAUUAUCGAUGGACUGUUUUUAAUUUUGACCUGCACAUGUGAUACAGAACCUGAGGAUGAUAGCCAAUUAGCCAUGAAAUAAAUUACAUAAGGUCGUUUGAUGAAAAUUUCCACUAGCAUUUGGAAUUCAUUUCCGUUUUCAGUUAUCUGAUCAAUUUUGAUAAACACAUAUACAAUGUGGUUUCUGUUUUAGUUAAAUUUUAAGUUAUUCAUGGAGUAGUACUUAAAAAGAAAGUAACUUUGAGAAGAAUGGGCAAAUAUGGUAAUUCUGUUAUCACUCUAAUUCUAAAUUUAUAAUCACAUAAUUAUAGGCUCAAUUUGUCUCUGGCCGUUGGAGUCAAUCGUGCAGCUGUAAAUGAGAUAAUUUACUUUCCAUAUAAGGUUACGUUGGCUGAUUUGUUGCGAGACUUGGUUAUAACAUUUUUCAAAAUCCAGGAGAGAUUGAUGCAAAAUUUAAUAUCAUUGAUUCUGAAAAUCCUCUUUAUAUAGAACACUUGUAUAAAAUAAAAAUUAUUCACCUGCACUAGACACAAAGAUAGUUAAAAAAUGAGCAUGGAAUUCUUAGGUAUACAAAUUGCAGUAGCCAUUUACAUUUACGUUCUCACCUUGACCAGCAAAAUUAAUGGCUUUAGAAUUGAGCUCACCCCAAGAACCUCCAUUGAUUCGGCUCUGUUUCCCAAAGACCUUUCUCCAGAAGAAAUACAUCACAGAAUUGCUCAACUCUCCAGAGCUCGCGCUAUUCAUCUUAGAUCCAAUCAAGAACCCGAAACACUAAAACCACCUGUUUAUCCUUCUCCUUUUGCUAACACCAAUAUAUACAUAACAAAUAUAUCCAUUGGUUCAACACAGUUCUCACCUUACUUGGUAGUGGAUACCGGUAGUGAUGAUACAUGGCUUCAAUGUGAGGGUUGCACAAGUUGCUUUCCAAUCAAGGGAGGAAGCUUUCCCGUCAUGGAAUCAAAUACUUAUCGCGGCUUAGCUUGUGAGCACCCGCUUUGUGUCCCCAAAUUGUGUGAUAAAGGUCUAUGCUCAUACGAUUGGAAGUACAAAGAAGGCAGUAGAACUAAGGGUGUGCUUUCGUCCGAAAGUUUAACUUUUCCUGGGGAUAAAAAUACAAGCCUAACAUUUGCAAAUGUAACCUUUGGUUGUGGCUAUGACAAUCAGAACGUAUCAUUUGGUGGAUACAUGGGAAGUGACAAUAUAAUUGCGGGGGUGUUUGGUUUAGGGGCAGGGCAACGAUCAAUCCUGAGGCAAUUGGAGCCUGAGACCAACCUACGUUUCUCUUACUGUCUUCGCUUGUACCCCAGAACAGACGGGAGUAACACUACUUACUUGCGAUUUGGCCCUGAUGCUCAGAUAAAAAGGAGACGAUAAACGAAAGUUCAGACAAUAAAAUUGAACCCCAGCCUGCCCGGGUAUUAUGUGAAUGUUACAGGUAUUAGCGUUGAAGGAAAACGACUAGAAAUAGACCCAGCUUUGUUUCAGCUGAAACAAGGAGUCUCUGGUGGAUUUGCUAUUGAUUCAGGUGUUGGACCCACUCUUCUUGUUCCUGAGGCAUAUGAAGUCUUGAAACUAGAAAUCCUCGAAUUCUAUUUGGCGCGAGGCUUUCAUCCUGUAAAAGUAUUGCAUGUGCCGUAUGAUCUUUGCUAUGCUAUUACACCUGCAGCUAAUGUUGAUGCUAGUGGUUUCUUCCCGUCAAUGGUAAUCCAUUUCGAAGGGGCUGACCUUUUUCUGGAUGAUACUGCUGUGAUGGGGUUCGUUGCUCCUCAAUUGUUCUGUUUGAUUUUCUUGCCUACGCAUCCAUCCGGGCCGAAUCUUCUGGGGGCAUUUCAGCAAGAAAAUCAAAGGUUUUUGUUUGAUGUUGGAAAAUCUACUGCGUCAUUUGUUUCUGAGAAAUGUAAUGAGCAAGAAUGAGAUUAUGUAACUCUAAUAAAAUUGUAGGCUUUUCAAAUUCUAUUUUUUUUUUCUUUUUCAUCCCAGAUUGUCAGCUUCUUUGGAUUCAGGUCCUGCAAUUGCAAAGGCCUGAUCAGUACUCAAUUUUAGAUACAGCAGGUGUUAAAAAUGAGACUGAUGCAAUAUUUAAUUACCAAUUCUCUAAAAUUUGAACCCUACGUAAACUUAAUUGAUUUAGAUAAGACAAAUGCUAAGUUAUAAUUAUUGUAACUUACAUUUCUCAUGUGAACCACAUAAAUUACAGGUUCUAUAAUUUUGUGUGGUUCACAUGAGAGGUGUAAGUUAUAAUGAUUGUAACUUAGAGACUCCCGAUAGAUAAUCAUGAUGUAAGAAAUAAUAAUGAUACGUGAUUAGGUGGCGUGUAAAAAGUUAUCAUUAAUGUAAAUAUAGAAAUUUGUAAAACUGGCAGUCGCAGCUCAUCAUGAUUAGUUGUACAAUACCUUUAGUGGAAAAACAUUAAUGAAAUUCUAUAAAGACUAAAAAGCAUUUAAACCAAAAGGUAUAGAUUUGAUUGCCGCUCACAUGGGUGGGAAAGGGAGUCGAUUACUAUUAAGCUUAAUAAUAAUAACAAUAGAAGUAGAAUUAUUAUAUUUUAAAAAAAUGCUUUCAAAAUAAAAACAGUACCAAUUCAUCCAAUUCAACAUUCAAUACUCAAAAACGCUAAUCUAAGCUUGCUUUAGGAAAGAUAAUUAUGAUGUAAGAAACAAUGAUACAUGAUUGGUGGUGUAUAAACAUUUAUCAUUUGUGCAAUAAUAUUGAAACUUGAAACACUGAUAACAUGAUUAGUUGUACAAUAUCUUAAAUAGUAAAACGUUAAUGCAAUUUAAAUGCAAAAUCAGCACCAAUUCCUCAAAAGCCAUUUGUUCUUCUGUAUAUCCACACAAAAUUACAAAUGAUGCAACAAUGUUCUUGCUACUCACAAAACAAAGAGAUUAUGGCCGUGAAACCCUUUGAUUUACAGCUACAAGGGGUGGCUGCAGUUGCCCUCUACAUUUACAUCCUCACCAAGUUCAUCAUACAACUUAUAGCUUCAGAAUUGACCUCAUUCCAAGAACCUCCAUUGAUUCAAAUCUUUUCCCCAAACACCUUACUCAUGAAGAAACACAUCAUAGAAUUGCUUCACUUUCAAGAGCUCAUGCUCAUCAUCUCAGUUCCAUGAAUUCUGCCAAAUCCGCCCGAAAACAAAGCACACCCCGAGCCUGAUCAGUGGAUGCAACCACCAAUUUUUUCUUUUCCUUUUGCUAAUAUUUAUGUAACAAAGGAUCGAGUUAAUUGGUUCAAGACAAUUCUCACCUUACCUGGUUAUGGAUACUGGUAGUGGGCUAUAUGUGGCUUCAAUCUGAAAGAUUGAUUAGACAUUGAUCCGGCAUUGUUUGAGCUAAACCGUGGCAGUUCAGGUGGGGUUUGCUAUUCAUUCACGCGUUGGACUGAUAAUUCAGGUUCCUGCUGCAUAUAAAGUUUGAAAGCUGAGAUGAUCAAGCAUGUUGUUAUACAAAAUGGCUGGCAUCUCGUAGAGGCAGGGAAUUCAAAGAAAAUUCCAUAUGACUUCUGCUUUUGGGUCACACCAACUGGCAUUAAUGAUUUAAAACCAUCAAUGACAAUCCAUUUUGAAGAAGCUGAUCUUGUUCGGGAGCCUAAUGCUGUGUCUCAGAAAGUUGGUGAUCCCUUAUGAAUGAAUGUUAUCUCCAGCUAUCCCAAUGCACCAAAUCUAUAAGGGGCUUUUCAGCGGGCAAACAACCAUUUCUUGUUUGAUGUUAGCAAAUCUAUUUUGUCAUUUGUUCCUGAGAAAUGUAAUGAAUAGAUAGAUUACAAGGUUGUCAAACAGAAUAAUUAGAGUUAUCUGCAUGAACAUAUAUAAGAUAUGUAUGACAAAAUUCCAGACGCUAACUCUUAGACUACAAUAUUUUGGUAAAAUUCUUGGACAAUGAGAGGGACAAUUUAAUAAAUUAAAUAUUAAUUAAAUUAAACAUACUUACAAAUAUAUUUAUGUAGAUGUAUUUCAUUAUUAAAAUUAUAAUUCAUAAAACACAUCAUUUACACAGUUACGUGCCAUUAAAAUUCUCGUUCGUCUCAACUAUACAACAAUACUGUUGUCAUCAUCAUCUUAUGAAAUUUUGUUUUAUUGUCAAAUAAUGAUUGAAAUUUUGACCAAACUAUCUUCUUGUCACUGUUGGUGUACCGUCACCACAGUUUUCUACUUUUCUUGAUUGGUGCACUUAAACGUAACGGGGGCAAAGUGGGGUGUAAUAUGUAGAUUCAAGAGAGCUUAAUGGUUAAGGAUUAGAAGUGAGGACUACUAAAUUUCAAAAAGAAAAAGGGGGAAAAAAUGUGCACUAGUAUGAUUAAAAAGAAAUUAAAGAGGGUGGACCAGUCGUAAGAAAGGCAUAUGAACAGAAGAAAUAAAAAAAAAAACCCUCAACGGUGUUUUAUAAUGGGUUAAUUAAGCUUGGGUGACAUAUAUUCUAACAAAUUUCAAAACGUGAUAUAUGUUUUAAAAAUAUUUUAUCAAGUGACAAUCAGUUAAUUUUUAUAGUUAAUUCAAACGGACUAACGGUAAAUAUAUUUAUUUUAGGGUUGAUUACACACGGAUGACACACAUUUUGAUAAAUUUCAAAAUAAUUAUACAUGUUUUAAAAAUACUUGAUUAGAUAACAACUCAUUAACUUUUAUGAUAAUUCUAAUGGACCACAAGUAAAAUUUUAAAAAAAUAGAUUUAUUAAAUUUUUUUUUUCAUUUUCCUCUCUCCCCUUCUUCCUUCCUCUUCUCCAGUUUUUUCUCCUUUCUUCAUCUUCUUCAGUUCAUUUUUUUCUCCUUUUUUUGUCUUUUUCAGUUCGUCGUUUUUUUCUUUUUUUUUUUUCCCUCUUUCUCUCCUUCUUUCUUUGUCUUCUCUAAGUGUCAUCUUCUCCACGGCCACAACAUGAUAGCAGCCGUGAUUUCCUGGAGCCAAAGUAGCAAAUUGAUUCAACAAGAAAAUUUGUUUAAAGAAAAAUUAGUUUGAUUUAACCAAAAAAACCCUUGUUAAUUAGACUGAACUAGAUUCAAUAUAUAUUAUUAGAAAAAGGUGAAAAUAAGUGAGUAGGGGCAGAAACAUCAUUUUUUUUGUAACUAGCUGUAGGGGCAAAAAUGUUAUUUUUUAAUUAAUUGACUACUUCCAUUACUUAAUAGUAAAAGUUAACGGAUUGUUAUUUGAUCAAGUAUUUUUAAAACAUAGGUUACCUUUUUCAAAUAUGUCAAAAUAAGUUUCACUGAUGGUUAUUAAUUCUAAAAUAAUAUUUUUUGUAAUUUUACCCUUAGUCCGUUAGAAUUAACUGUAAGAGUUAAUGGAUUGUAUUAUUGAGUAUUUUUUAAAUAUGUAUCUCUAUUUUAAAAUUUGUCAAAAUAUGUAUCACCCAAGUGUAAUUAACUCAACACUUAUCUUAAUUUUCUAACUUCUAAGCGAAUAUUGUCUAAAAAAGACGCCAUGUUCAUUCAAUUGAUAGAAAAUUGGUCUAGUUUCUAACUUCUAAGCGAAUAUUGUCUAAAAAAGACGCCAUGUUCAUUCAAUUGAUGGAAAAUUGGUCUAUUUUCUAACUUCUAAGAGAAUAUUGUAUAGAAAAUGCUAAUCAGGCUGAAGGCUUUGUCAUGAGUAGUCUCGAGUGUUCCGUGCCGUUUUAGUCUUCAGAAUUGAAAAUCUGCCUCAAUCUCAAGACGAAUUAGCAAGAAAAGGAGUAUGACAAAAACGGCACAUCAUCUGAUGGGGCGCGUUUGUGUAUGCGCUCAAGCUGAUUAUGACUCUUUUUAGGUCAGGAAAUACUGUAAUUUUUAAAAUAAUUAUUGUUAACUGUAUAAAUAAUCAACUAUAAAGAAAAUUAAUUAAGUAUUUGGUAAUUUUUUUUAAAAUUAUUAUGCGUUUUGAAAGUAGUUAUGAGUGUUUAGUAAAAUCUUAGUGGUAAACUAUUGUGACAAAACAAAUGAUUAAAAUGUACAUAAUGCAGGAUAUAUUUUACUUAUACAUAUAAAAACAUGUACAUAUAAUAUUUUUAAUUGUAUAUAGUAAUAAUUUUAACUAAAAAUAAAAUUUAUACUAUAUUUAUGAAAUUAUAUUAAAGGAUAAAAUUGGUUCUCAAAAUUAGAAUUUAAAAAUUACUUUCUCCAUGCUUUCAAAAUCAGCUGUAGGAGGAAUUAAUUUUAACAAAAGUGAUUUUGAUUUUUUUUUUACCAAACUCUAAAAUUAAUUUUUAAAUUUUUAAAACCACUUUUAAACCUUCCAAAAGCAAUCCCAAAGGGACCCUAAGUAUAAUUUGGGUCCUAGCGCACACAAGAAAUUUUGCAUAACAAGGAAUUUUUUUCCUAAUUUUUUCGCUCUAUUAAUUUUUUUUCUAAUGAAAUAAGUGAUCCAUAUUAAAUUUUGAAUUUGAUAUUAAUAACUUAACUAAUUUUUUCACUAAAUUUAAAAAUUUAUGAGAGAGAAAAAAAUAAAUAAUAAUAAUAGUAAGAAAGAAUCAUAAUCUAUAUUGCAGCAGUUAUCUCAAUGACUCGUGAGUCGUGUCGGUGUUCGUGGGUGGGUGACUUGGAUAGAGCUGGCAAAAUUUGACACGACCCGAUUACCCGACACGAACACGACACCAAUAAAUGGGUAUGGAUCGUCAAAUUUAACACGAUUAUUAAAUGGGUCGGGUCCGGGUCAACACGAUUUUUUUCCGUGUCGGGUUAGGGUUAAAAUUCUUGACCCAUUUACCCGAUUAAUGACCCAAUUAUAUUUUUUAUUUUAAAAUAAUUUGCAGAUUCUUGUCAUCAAAACUCAAAUAUUAGAGAUGAUUUUUUUUUAUUCUUUAAAAGGAUGAAUAUAGACACAAUAUUUUAUUUAUAAAAUUUUAAAUACAUUUAGAGCUUUAAUAGUAUAAAUGUAUAAAAUAUUGGUAGACAUGUAUAUUUUAUAAUAUUGAUAUAUAAUAUUAUUUACAUAUAUAUAAUUAAAACCUCAAUAGUGUGCAUAAUAUUUUAGUAGAUAUGUAUAUUUUAUAAUAUUGAUAAAUUAUGUAUGUAUGUAUGGAUGUAUGGAUGUAUGUAUGUAUGUGCAUACAUAUGUAUGACAAAGUGUAAAUAUUUGAUGUAACUUUUGUUUAAUAUAUAAAUAUUAAGCGGGUUAUUGGGUAACCCGAUUAUAUUUUCGUGUCGGGUUUGGGUCUCAAUAUUUUGACACGAUUAUUAAAUGGGUCGGGUUUGGGUCGACUUAAAUUUGACACGACACGAACACGACCCGAUGACCCGUUUUGCCAGCUCUAGACUUGGAUUUGGCCACAUAUGUCACUGCUCGCGUCAUCGGAUUUUCUCUUUCAUUUCCCAUAAAUAAUAAUGCAAUUAGUUAAAGAGCAGUGAAACAAAAAGCCACAAACCAAAUUUGUCAUCAAACCUAGUAAUUGCAAAUUACAGAGCUUGUACCAACCACCAAAAAUGAGCUGGUGGUGGGCUGGGGCAAUUGGCGCUGCCAAGGUAAGACUUAUAAUUAGAUCAGCUCUUUCACUUGCUGUGCUUGAAGAUUUUAUUCUUCUUAUUUCAUAUUUUUAAAAUGUUAAGUUUAAUUUACAGAAGAAAUUUGAAGAAAAUGAGCGACAACCGCAACCGCAACCUCAAGACUACCAGCACGUGGGACUCGUGAUAGGCGUUACGGGAAUUGUGGGAAACAGCCUAGCUGAGAUUUUGCCCCGACAGGAUACUCCCGGGGGCCCGUGGAAGGUCUACGGAGUGGCCCGACGCCCCCGGCCCGACUGGAACGCCGAUCAUCCGAUUGAGUACAUCCAAUGCGACGUUUCCGACCAGGACGACACGCAGGCCAAGCUCUCAAAACUCACCGACGUCACCCACAUCUUCUACGUGACGUGGGCCAGCCGUCCCACGGAAGCCGAGAACUGCGAGGUCAACGGCGCCAUGCUACGCAACGUGCUCGGUUCCGUUAUCCCGACCGCGCCAAAUCUACGCCACGUCUGCCUCCAAACCGGAGGGAAACACUACGUGGGACCGUUCGAGUCGUUCGGCAAGAUACGGCCUCACGACACGCCCUUCACCGAAGACCUGCCAAGACUGAAUGUGACAAACUUUUAUUACACUCAAGAAGACAUAUUGUUUGAAGAAGUCGAAAAAAGAAAGGGGCCGUUGUCAUUGACUUGGUCCGUACACCGGCCUCAUAUAAUAUUUGGGUUUUCACCGUACAGUAUGAUGAAUGUUGUAGGCACUCUGUGUGUGUAUGCGGCUAUUUGUAAACAUGAAGGGGUUCCUUUACUGUUUCCAGGGAGUAAAGAUUGUUGGGAGGGCUACUCGGUUGCUUCGGACGCGGAUUUGAUUGCGGAGCAACAGAUUUGGGCGGCGGUGGAUCCGUAUGCGAGAAACGAAGCUUUUAACUGCAGCAAUGGGGAUGUUUUUAAGUGGAAGCAUUUGUGGAAAGUGUUGGCUGAGCAGUUUGAGAUUGAGAAUUAUGGGUUACCACAGGAGGGCGAGAGAGUGAGAUUGGAGGAAAUUAUGAGAGGUAAAGAAGGUGUGUGGGAGCAGAUCGUGAAAGAGAAUCAGCUGCAGCUCACAAAGUUGAGUGAGGUGGCUGUCUGGUGGUUUGCAGAUAUGAUGUUAGAUGGAGGGUUUUUGUUGUUGGAUAGUAUGAAUAAGAGCAAGGAGCACGGAUUCUUGGGCUUCAGGAAUUCUAAGAAUUCUUUCGUUAAUUGGAUUGACAAGAUGAAAACUUACAGGAUUGUGCCUUAGAGGAGUGAUAUUCUGUGGAGGUUGUAAUUGUUAUUUGGUGAGUAAAAUGGUUAUUAUGUUUCAUUUUCAUGAUUCAUGUAACUGUUUGAAAAAUCAAUGGUUUUUGGUCUGAGGUUGGAAAAUCUACAGUCUCUUCUCACAUCUGUUUUAUAAAAAUAAAAUUGGAGACUUGUUAAUUUCUGUUUCUUUGUGUUCAUCGGUUCAUCCCGGCUUUUCUUUCAUCUUCCUUGGCAUCACCAAUCACUUGUAAUAAUUGCCCAACAAAUCUGAGAGUUUAGAAAAAUACUUUUGUCGGACAGGUGUACGAUUCAUCCCUCCCCCUAGCUUUCUAGCUCUAUAUUUUACAUCUCUCCUACUAUGUAUACUAAGGCCCUGAAUAAAGGAAACAAAUAAUGGAGACAUGUCGUCCCAUGCUUGAAAAAUGUUUCUCGUCAAAGAUAUAUACAUCAUUGAUCGUUGAUAUAAACUCUCAGUUGUGUGUGGCGUGCAUAAUUAUUUAAUUACACGAAUCUAGCUAUUCAAUUGCAUAACCGAAUGAUCAUCAAUAAGGCAGAAUCAAGCUUUUGUGGUGUUCUUGUGACAAAAUAUUCUGCUUUUUUCGUUUAAGAAGAUGACAAAAUAUAGAAUACGUAGUGUAACUUGUUAAGUACUUGAAAAUACAGAGCUUAAUGAGACAGAUACUGGGGUUAUAAUAUAUUGGGGUUAUAAUAACUUACCGCCAGCAGGUCCUCAAAAUCAAGAAAGUACUUGAAACAUGGGAUACGUCGGAUGUUUAACGUUGCAAUCACAGAGUCUGUCAGGUAUUCACGCAUAUCCUCAAUUUGAUAGUGUCUGUCAAAGAGAUCUAUUUAUGGCUAUGCUUUGGUUAAUGAAAAAACUAAUGUAUCCCACAUCGAAGCGAUACAAAAAGGCAGCUAUGACAAAGGAUAUAAAUAAUGAGCGCUAAGCAACUGAAGAACAUACUUACCUGGACGGGGUCAAUGGGCGAUCAUGAAGGCCCAUGGCCUAGGUUGGUGGCCUCCAUUGCACUUGGGAGGUGCACCCGCCUAAGGUCAACCCAAAGUGGUUGAGCCUACGUCAUAAUUUGUGGCAGUGGGGGCCUGCGUUCGCGCGGCCCCCUCCCCAACUCAAUUAAAAUUUUAACUAUUUUUGUGCGCCAUUGUCUCAACGGUUGUCUUUUAACUUACAAUUAUUCUAAGAGAGUUUCAUAAUCCUGAGCAGACUGAAAAUCGAUUGUACAUUGUCGUGGUUGUGACUAGUGCUCUCAGGGUGUCACAAUCAGAUCUCUGCUAAAGUCAAGGCGUAUCUUAUUUUACUUACCUAAUAAGAUCCUAAUUAAGGUUUAUUUUAUUAUUUAAAAAUUAAAAAAAAAAACUGAAUAAUUAUAUCUGCUCACCUAAACGUUAGGCCCCAUCUUAACAUGUAGUUCCACUAAAAAAUUAGUUUUUCUUUAUUUUCUUGUUUAAGGUGUAGGAUUUUAAUAUUUUUUAAUUAUUUAACUUUAAAUCUUGAUCGAACUUAGACCGGAGAUUUAAUUAAGGAUUAUUCUCUAUUUUGAAAGUUAAAUUUCCAUCAAAUAAGGUUGUUUGAUGAUUUCUACUUAAAAAAAAAAUUCAAGGUAAUUAAAAAUUAUUAUGCUGAAAAUCUGUUAACGGUUUAUAUAUGAAAAAAAUUAAUCAUACAUAUUUAUGAUAAAAUUUUCAACCAAUCUCAUGUUAACUUCUUUUAAAUAAAAACUUUGCCUAAGACCUAAAAUUUCAUUGUGCCGACCUAAACCAUAGUUUAGGAUGGAUGGAUUUUGUUGACUUUUUUACCAUCUGACAGGUACAAUAUGAGUGCCUUAACUGACUUGGAUCCUUAUUAUCCUACUACGUGUAUGGCUUAAAUUGACUAUAAAGAAAAUGAGGCUGGAAAUGUAUUUAAUAUUCUAAAAGCUUGUCCGAAAUUGGCUACAAAUAAAAUAAGAGCAGAAAUGUAGUUUUUUUUUUUUGAAGUCGAGCAGAAAUGUAGUUAAUAUUCUGAAGUUGGUAGCUGAUUACAAUUUUAAUUAAUCAUUGUUCUCUUGAUCAUCAUUAUUUCUCUCACCCAAUGGAGAAAGACUGUAUAAUCGGGUCGAUUUAGGUGAUGCCGGGGUUUAGAAAAAAUAUUACAUAUUUUAUCUCAAACGAUGUGUCAUUUAUUAAGUAGUUGAUAAUUCUUUAUAAUCCAAUUGAAUUAAUUGUAUUAUCUCACCAAUAAAUUAAUGAAUAUUACAUCAAUUGUGAUAAUUUUUGGCAUAAAAAAUUUAAAAUAUAUAACAUUAUUCUUUUAUGCGGAGAUGGAAGCUUGCAAUUUAUCAUGUUCCAAUCUUGAAGACCAUGGAAGAAAGUUGACAAAGAUUGAAAAAAAAUUAUCACUUUCUACCCAAAAAAUAAUUUUAAGAUUUGUUUAAAUGAUCAUACAAUACUUAGUUUCAUAAAUGGAUACAUAAAUAUUUUUUUAUUAUUAUAGUAUUAUACCUUUUUGCAACUAUACCCAAAUUUGGUAUAGAAAUACAAAAUGUCAUUUUCUAUGGGGAGGCAUUCGAGGAUCGCAAAAAAACGAUGCCGACCACCUAAAAAAUAUAGGUACGAAAACUAUAUUUAUUAGAAAACUAUAUUUAAUUAUUUUUAUUAUGCAUUUUAAUCUUUGUAUAUAGUAUAUUGGCUUUUCAGUUCAACCACUCUUAAGGAUUUCUUUGAGAUUGAGGAUGAACGUUGUAUCCUAUAAGUAGCUUAUUUUAUAAGUUCUGAAAAAACCUAUAAAAUUCAUCUUUUCGAGCCCAAAAGUCAAAACAUGGCGACAUAUGUGUUGUUGAAUCGUGGAGUGAAAAAACCUAUCAAAUUCAUCUUUUCGAGAUAAAAAGCCAGACAAAUACCGAGGGCGGAACUAAGACUUUAAUUUAACAGGAGUCAUAAUAGAGGAUUUAAAAAAUUGAUUAGGUUGUCGCAUAAAAUUUAUAAAAUUGAAGAGGCAUUAAAAUGGAGAUUAUAAUAGUUAAAUUUAAAUCAUAAAAUUUAGUAUACCAUAAAAAAGGUCUAAGAUAUAUAUUUUUUUAAACAUGCAUGCAUGCAUGCUUCCGCCACAGUCAUACCCUAACGCAAACUUAAGACCGGUCUUAACAACGCCAAGUUUUUAAAGGGAGAUGGAGGAAAGAAAGAAAUACUCACUUGAUUCGAGUGCCCUCAAUGCCCCCUUAGACUUGACUCAUGAAUCAGUAGUUACUAGUGAUCACGUGGAAAUUGUCAACUUGCUGGGCUAAUUAUGCAAUAAUCGCUACGUGUUGUUAUAAACUUAUAGUUAGCGCAAAUAUGUUGUUGUUUUAUUUAACAAAUUAUUCUUAUUAAUUUUAAGAAAAAUAUUUAUAUCAGAAAUUGUUUCAUAAUUUGAAUUGGUCAUCAACUAGCAAAUAAUUAAGAGCCAUCAAUAUUUGAAAUGGUGGGAUGCUAAUAGCAAUAAAUCCGAGCACGAUUAAUACCAAAAAGUAAAACACGGCACCUUAUUUCAAAGUUUCAAUGAUUUUUUUUUUUUAUAAAAAAAAAGCACAUAACACGAUGGUCAACCAUACCAGGAAGAAAUAUCAGUUAUCUCAGAUUAUUAUAAUAAAAUCAGAAAGGUCGUUGCCCAGCAGGGCGAAGUGGCCCACCGAACACUGGCCCGCAGCAGGUCAGCUCCAUCGAAGGAUAAAGACGAGAGUAUCAAAAUGAAGUGACAGCCCGAGAUUUCAUUCAGUCAUAUCCUAAUCACGAUCAAGGAGACAAUUAAAUAAAAUUGAGUGGCGUACGUAUAAAUUAUAGAUUCAAGAGAGCUUAAUGGUUAAGGAUUAGAAAGUGCGGACUAGUACGCAAAGGCAAAUGAAAAGAAGAAACUGAGAAGAAACAUCAACGUCGAUGUAAAAUUAUGUAUUAAUUGUAGUAGAUGGCUUAUCUUUUUUUUUUUUUUCUCUCCCCCCACCCCCUCCUAAAGUCGGAAAACGCCAACAUUAUGCAUGGUUUGCUCAUGGACUCCAUGUAUCUUUCAUGUUUUGUUUAAGAAUGAAGCUCAAAUGAGGGCACUUGACUGAGUAUGGCAAGUUAUUUACGAGAUAAUCGAGAAAUUGCAAAGUCAGUAUCUUUCAUGCUGGUUAAGUAAAGAUAUUGGACGGUACGACUGUUAUUAUUUGUAAGGCCACGGUCAUGUCAGAGUUGCUACCGUGAAGCUCUAACGUAGCUGGAUCCUAUUUAUAAAUGUAAUGUGCAAAUAACAUGUUUUUAAACUUAAUAUAUUUUUAUUUAAUGUAUGAAAUUUGAAAUUUUAUUAAUUUUAGAUUUUUUUUAAAAAAUUAUUUAUUUUUUAUAACUUAUGUCUGAUUUAUAUAUGUUUGUAUCGGAAUAGAAAAAAUAAUUUUUUUUUUACUUUUAUUUGAAUAGAAAAAAGUCUAAAGAGAAGUAAAUAUUAUAUUUAAAAAAUAUUUGUAUAAAAUAUAUUUAUUUCUUAAGUUAUAAAAUCUAAUCUUUUUUGUUUUGGUUUGCAAGGAUAUAAAUGUCAAAGAAUUAUGUUUAAGUUUUUUUAUUUAUAAAAAUAAAAAGAUGUCGCUUAUAUUUAGUAUUAAAAAAAACAUAUCAUUUAAAUAUUCAUAUUUAAAUUCAUUCAGACAUUAGAAAAAUUCAGAAACAUUUAGAUUUCAGAUAAAAAAACAAACGCUACCUUAAACAAGGAAUGGUAGAAACCCCUAUAGGGAUGGGGCCUUGGGAAUUUUUUCCAUUUGAGGAGGGUAUGAAGAUAAUUUGAUAUUCAAUUUCUUAUUCAGAGAAGGAAUGAAGAUAAUUUUUUUAUAUCUAAUUUCAUAUCCAGGGAAGGGUCCACCCUUUCCUAUUUCCCCAUUUCCUAUUCUAAUUUUUAAUUUUUAAUUUAUUUUCCUAGAAUUAAUAGUGAAUAAAUACUAAAUUUUAAAUUGUAAAAUAUUAGAUAUUAGUGUAAGUAACAAAUAUGAAAAUGCUUAUACAAAUACUAUAAAUAUUAGUUAAUACAAAAAAAUUAUUGUAAUUUAGACUUAACUAUAGCCCAAAAUCAGUAAUCGCACAUGCCUACAAUUCACAAAUCAAAUUCUAAGUCACUCUCUCACAACAUUACACAUCCCUGCCAAAUUAUUUGUGCCAUAACUAGUAUCCAGCUUGUCAUCAUCUCAUCAUAGGUCACUAGUACAUUGCAUUGUUGGUGGCCGAGUAGUCUAACUCAUCGCGACGUCAACUCGUAGCCCCACACGUGGCUUCAUUGCGCUAUAAUCGACCAAGAGAUAUCAUUACUCAUGGACAACACUCACGUCAAUAUUGUAAAAGAAUCACAUUAUUUGAAUUUUGUUUUCAAAAUCAUUAUUUGAGUAUUGUAUAUACCAAAAGUUUGAUGGAGUAGAAUGAAAUAUAACAUGUUUAUGAUCAUUCUCAUUUUAUUUUAUAUGAUUAAAUUAAGUGCAAUAUGACCUAUUUAGAUUAAUAUGAUUAAAUUAAGUGUAAAAACUAAAAAAAUAUCAGUUAUUUGGGGAUUAUGGACCCUUAGAGAUCUCUUGUUAUUUUUUAGAGAGGGGAUAGAGAUCCCUCAAGCAAUUUUGAUGGGAACAAGAACCUAAGUAGAAUAUUAAGAAUGGGUACAGAGAUUACGAUCUCCUCUUUUCGUCUCUCCAUUACCAUUUAAGGUUUAAACAAUGAAGGAAGCACGCCAUUUUUAUCAUGAUUAUGUAAGUACGCGUGUCACACGUGCAAUCAAGCUUUGGAAAAUCAAUUGCUUUGGUUUGAUGUUGGAAAGCCUUCGUUCUACCAUCUCUUUUGUUUAAGAGACUUCUAAUGAGCAAAAAUUACGUGGAAACCCUUGUACUACCCAAAUAGAAGUCAUGUUUGUUGGUUAGAUUUCCAGCUAUGUAUUGCAUUUUACGUCACUCUCAAACUUCAAUAAAAUUGAGUCAAGUUGAUGAAAAGGUGAACAAAAGAAUGUAAAACAAAAUGUAAAUUCAAAUUUCUCGGUUUUCGCUUCAUAUAUGCAUUAAAAAUCGAACACUUCUAUGUUCAUUGUAUGUUAAUAUUUGCAACCAAUCACUCUGUCAAAAUUAAACGACUCUUGAUAUAUAUUAAUAUUAUUCGAAGAAUUUGAGUUUCUCUGCUGCAAACGAUAUGUUUGGCAAAUCUAGGACUAGAGUGCUCUAUUUAUAUUUAUUUUUGGGAUGAUUUAUAACAAGAGAUUUCUUAUAUAUAUUUUAGCUUUCCUUUUGUUAUUGUAGUUGUCUAACUAUUUUGAGGGGUAAGGCUCACUAUGUCUCCCUUAAUUAGAUAUAAAUUAUUUUUGGUUUUCAAUAAAAUUACAUCGCCAGCCAAGUUUCAUUGAAAAAAAAUUAUCUAUUUAUUUAUUUUUUAAUGUUAGGAGAUCCUACAAAACUUAAAUCGAUUUAUUUAACCUCAUAUCUCUCCAAACUGUUUGAAAACUACUUGGUCAAAUGCAGGACUUUAAUUCUAACAUAUCUUGAUAGGUCAUGGAUAUAUUAGAGUGGUUCUAAGGAAAAACACGAGUCACAUCUUGGUAGUGUCGUAUUGUCGUUAGGGUGCACCAAAUUUAAAACCUUACUACUAGUAUAAAUAAUUAGUACAGAACGAGUAAGGAUCGAUCCCACAGAGACUAUACUAGUUAUAUUUAUUAUCAACUCUAAAGCAAGACUUAAAAUAAAAUAAUAAUAGAAGUAAUUAAUAUAAAUUAAUCUAACUAAAGAAAAUGCCAAUUAAAAAGGGGAGUUUUUGAAUUUUUAACUAAAUAGCAAGAAAUAAAGAAAUUAAACUAUGAAAACAAAAAUUUAAUAAAAACUCUAAUUAAAGAAGAAAGAAAUAAUAAUGAUGAAAACUUUGGUUAAAGGAUUAUUCACCACCACCAAACAUGCACAUAAUAUAUCAAUUUUAUCAUCAAUUUAUAUUGAAACUAUCAACCGUAGACAACAACAAACUCUGUUAGUCUCAAUCUUUCCUUAGUGUGUCGUUAGGCAAAACAAGCUCUUCACCUAAUCUCUAACCAUUAAAUAAUUUAAAACAAACUCUUUAAAUUUAAGAGAAUGGAAGCAUUAAGUAGAGAAAUAUAUUAGGUUGAUCUAGACAAUAAACACACAAGCUCGGAUUAUUUAACCUAGGUUAUGUUCUCCAAUUGAAAUCACUGAUUCCAACCUGCUACUUAAUCUCAAGACAAUUACGGAUCAAGAAUUUUAAUCUAACAAUAGAAUUUAUUCAAGUCCUAUCUAAUUGGCCACUCAAACAAGACGAGAAUAAAAUCAUAAACAUUAAUUAUAGAAGAACAUAAACAAUCUCAAUUAAAUAAAUUGAAUGAUAUAAAUUAAAAAUUAAUCAUAUGACAUGUUUGGGGUUUUGAAUUCACCAUCAACUAAAUAGAAAAUCUAGCUUAACAUAAUUAAAUUGGGAAUAAAAGAACUGAUAAAACCAAUCACGGAGAUUAAUUUAAGCGGCUGCCUUUUUCUUCAAUUCCCUUCGGCUGGUGAUUUUUUUUUUCUCCUUUGCGACUGCCAAUCUAUCUAUAUAUAUUAAGUUGGGACUUGAGGAGGUGAUGUGGCAUCACCAUUUUUCAUAUUUGUAUAUUCUCUAUUAUCUAAUAAAUAGAGAAAUUUUCUUUUAAAUUUGGCUUUUCAUCUACUCAUAAUUAAUUUGAUUGUUAUUACACAAUAACAAUUAUGUAAAUAUUUUAAUGAGACAUAUUAUUUGUAGUGAACAUCCAAGGGGGGGUGUUAUGAAUUUAUUAAAAUAAAUGUAGAUGUUCAUAACAUAUAUCUCUUAGUCUCUCCACUAUCUCUCAUUAGCAACCUUUAGCUUUCCUAUAACUCCCACUAUCUCACAAGAAAUUAUGUUCCAUAAUUUUUCAUUAAUUUUAUGGAGUGAUUAUGUAACUAUAAAAGGAGAGCUCAUCUUUUUGUUUUGUACACACACAAUUGAAAUGAAUAAAAUUACUCUAUAAUAUAUUCUCUUAUUUUAUUCUUUAUCUUGCGUUGCUUCUUUAUUUGUAUUGUUGGCUAAUAGCUUUUUUUUGUUUUUUAUAAGGCUAAAAAAAAUCAAUUUAUAUUUUUUAUCAGUUUUAUCAAGUGUAAAGUAAGAAAAAAAGAUAAUACUAAAUUCUUUUUUCAAAGCCACGUGAAGCGCGGUUCUAUUUUCUAGUUGUUUUGUAUGUGUGGCUGCCGAAUAUAUAUUCCCCCUCGUGUUGCUUCCACUUGGCCCUUAUAUAAUGCUUCAAUUGUGGCUUUUAAAUCCUUGCAUGGAAAGAAUUAAAUCCAAGCAAAAACCGCCACUUUCAUAACGUGCUUGCCAUUUAAAUUGUCAUGCAAAACAUUUAAAUUACAUGCAAAAUAUUUCCAAUUAGAGCAUUCACAAACUCUUUUGAUUGGCCAUGCUUAAAGCCAAAAGGCUUUAUUCUUUUCUUCCUCUCACGUGCUGGAUGGCAAUCUCCUUUUUCCAAUUUUAGCUCCAUGCGAUGGCUUAGCUUGUAAUUGGCUUGGCUUCCUUUAGCUCCAUGUGUAAAAUUAAUUUUGCUUGGCCCGUACAAGCUCUAAUUGGAAAAUAUUCUUUAUUUCUCCAAUUCCUGAUCUCUUGUGCACUUUUGUCUCCCAAUCUUUAAUUCUUUUCCUAUUUUGAUUCUCUCAAUCAGAUUUCUUUCAUGAAUGCUCCGAUUUAAUAUCUCUUUAAUAUCAAAAAAUACUUAAAAUAACAAAAUAAAAAAAACUAAGAUAAAAAUUAACACAAUAAAAAUAUAAUUUACUAAAUAAAAAAUUAAUUAAAAUAACUAUAAUAUUUAAGACCAAAACAAGAAAAAGAUGGAGAAAUUAAUAGCAAAAUAUAUGAAAAAUAUGCACUUAUCACAUCUACACAUGUAAAGUGAUAAAUAGUAAAAAGUAUGUUAUAACUUUAAUCGUAUGAUUAUGAAGGAGUGUUCCACCGUGAAGCAGUUCCAACAUAGCCGGACUCAUCUUGAUAAUAUAAUAUGAGUAAUAAAUUGACACUUACUUGGCAAUUAAGUUAAUUAUUAAAAGAUGUCACACGAUUAGCAUUUAGAUAAUUGAUAAACCACAAAGUUAAAUAACACUAUAAACAUCAUAAUUAAUGACAUGUGUAACAAUGAUUUGAGACAAACUAUAUAAACCCCAGUUUCGUAAAUGUAAUACAAUAAAUUAUUAUUGUAUAUUAUAUUUCGAAUUCAUCCGUUACACCGUAAGAUUGAAUUAAUAAAUAUCAAAUAAAUUAAUGGUCAAUUAGCAUCAUUUUCAUCCGAUUAAACUUUCAUAAAAUAACAAUGAACAAAACCAUCCAAUAACUCAUAAAUAAUAAAUCAUAAUUAACUAUCUUAAACAAAUUCCUUAACAAUUACAACUACCGUCUUCAUUAUGUAAACAACAUCGGAGUAAAAGUAAAGCAGCACAGAAAACUCUAUGACGAGGUGGCAACUGGCAUCCAAGAUGACCACGGAGGUGGUGGGCCGAGAUCAGUUGGAUCAGGAGGUCCAGGUGGGCCCAUUGGACCACGAAAGCAGCCUUGUAGCAACCAGCAGCAGCACAGAAAGCUCAAGCUGUCAUAACAAACCCAACGACAAGCAACCGAACACCAGUAUUAGCUUUUUCCGCCACUGAGAAUUUUUUUUUGUCAACGUGUCAAUUUUUUCGUGAUUGUUCAGCUGCAUCUUAAGUUCCCAUUUUGACACGUGUCACUGUAUCUUUACACUACAUCAUGUAUCAACGAUGUUUACUUGGUGCACUUCAACAAUGAAUGGGACUAACAGAACAGCACAUGGAGAAUUUUGAUUUUUGAAAACCUCAACAUCUAAAUUCGAUGUUUAAUUACUUUCCAUGAACCGAUAACUUCACAAAAGCCACCGAAAGAGUCCAGCAGUCCAAGUAGUGGUGGACCCCACACAGGUGGCCCUCCAGGUCCUCCCGGUCCCAUUGCUAUUUGCUGAUUACUGUUGCCGGCUCUUUAAGCAAAGUUAGUUAACACCAAGGAAAUUAACAAGAGACUUUCAGAAGUCCAAACUCGCUCUUGCUUGUGUAUAUAGAGAUGCAAAAUGUUUUUAUGUUAAAUGAAAGUGGUACAAAUGCCACAAGGUUUCUUGUGUUUAUAGAAAGUGCAAGCUUAGGAUUUAAGCAUCCAUCUUUGUUGCCACAUUUGCAUCUAAUACUUUCCAACUGCUAGUCUUCUAUGUCUAACAUUCAAGACCCUGCUCAAGAAUGAUAGCAAUUACCAAUCACACGCUCAUUCAAUAAUUCAAGUGAUAAUCUCUUAAGUUAAAACCCAUUUAAUAAUCUAUGGAGGAUUUGUGCCCACAAAUGUGACCGAAUGGUUUUUAAAUAAUUUUAUUUAAUUAGCUACCCAACUUCAAAUCUUAAGAGAAAUAAGGGAUUUAAACAAAAUGAAUUUGAUCAAAAUGAAUCUGGACUUUGCUCACUGCAUUGAAAAAAAAAAAAUUACAGAAGAUUGAUCGACAAGAGUCUUCAGUGAUAAGCAAUUAGAUCAUAUUUUACUUUCCAGAAGAUGACAUGUCUCAAAGAGGUUUAAGCCAAAAAAUUCCCAAAACGCAAUAAUAGAUGAACAAGUGUGAUUAGAAAGUGCCACCAAGAAAUGAAAAGAAUACUAUAACUAAUAAAUCUAUAAAUCUCAUUUCCAUGAUGACAUUAUAGCAGUGGGUUACCAACCCCAAUUGAAUUAUAUAUAUAUAUUUACUCGAAAAUUAGGUUAGAGGGUAAACUGAUUACACAAAUUCUAUAGAAAAAUGGCCAAAAAGGCUGCCUUUUGCCUCUGUAUAUGUGAGCUAACUUUUAACUAGUAUUCUCUUCCAGAUAAUUCAUCCAUAUACAACUCUGCAAAUCACAAGAAUCCUUCACGAAAUGGCCGCCAAUCCAAUAGAUUUCCCCUCUUCAGUUUCUGUUUUCUGGUCUUGCUGAAAAGAGAAUGCAACAGACUAGUAAGUAGACUACAUUUGAAGAAUUGCAGAUUCGCUUGAAUUGAAAAUAAAAAUUAAGGCAUUUAUUAAAAUGGCUUCUAGAACAGCUUAAGGGGUAGUAUGGGCAGAUUAGUAAAAGGAUGGAAGAGAAAUUAUGCAAGAAUGCUUACUUGAAACAUUUGUGAUAACAUUAACACUUUUCUGAGCAGCAAGAGCUUUCAACUUGUUCCCACUACCUAGUACAAGCAAGCUCCUCAUAUGUUGCUUUUGUUCCCUAGGACUAGCUGUCUUUGUUGUUUGGAUAUUCUCACUUCCUAUCUUUUGAAAAAGGGAAAAAAGAAAACUUGCUUAGCGACGCUUAAUUACUGCUGUUAAUAUUCUGGCCAUUUAACAAACUUAUGCCCAUCGUUUGGAAAACCAAAAAAAUACAAUUAUUUUUCCAAGAAUAUAAGCAUGAAGAAAACUGAAACUAAGAAUGAAAUCUGAGAGGUUCAAAAGGCAUAUAUAUGAAUUAAAAUGAAGUUGAUUAUAAUAAGGGCUAAUAUCAUCAUUUGCAAAGCAAAAAAACCAAAAUAAGAAGCUAGUUUAGAGUUUCUUAUCAGCUAGCUCUAAAGAAAGACAAGUGCAGCAAAUUAAAGAUGGUUUUUUAAACCUCUCUAAUCUUAAACAUAAGUAGAUGAGGUGCCAAAUGCAUGGAUGGAUCCAGUACCGUAAGUAACAAGGCAGCUUCUUCUAAUUAAGCAUAUCGUCCCGUCUGGUUAUUUCCGUUUGCCAGAACGCAACCUCACCCAUGAUCACAUAAUUAUCCACCAACAAAACAAUCGUUGCCAAGGUCAUAAUCAAGCCAUCAUCAGACAGCCCGUGCUCUCCACGGACGGCAGCAGCUAUAACCUCGUGAUAAAUCCAUAACAUUUUCCAUCCAGAAACGAUGUGCGGGACCCAAAUCUGCACUACGAAAAGCACCACGAAAGAAGUUGAGCAACAAAGGUACGUAAAUCGAGAGAAGAAAAUAAUACACAUUGAUGCUUAAAGAGAGCAGAACGCCGGCCCGCCUGCUUUGUGUGCAGACAUGAGAUAAAGCUACUGCGUAUUGUUCCCAGUAAAAGAUCGAAGAAGCUGAUUCGAUUCUGAUGCUGAAUCCCCAGACCAAGACUAAGGUUGGAGCAAGGGUUGCUAUGCCUGCAUAUUCAGAGCCCAACACCUCCGCGAACAACAUCAUCCAGCUGUUUAAGUUUGUGAUGAGCAUCAUUGUUAACAAAGAUGACAUGUCGGGAAGAAGCUCAUGAUUGUGGGUUGGCCAAAUGGGCAUUUUCCCUUUUUCUAAAAUAUUUUUUUCCUCGGUACUGUAUGUAACUUGUCUGUUUGGCUUCUGGGAAAAUAAAUAUGAGAGGAGAAAGCGAUUGGAGAAAAUUUAGCUGAAUUACACGAUGAGGAUUGGAAUUGAGGGAGUCCAAACCAUGUGCUUCUACUCUGUUAGUGCACAAAAUGGGAAAUGGCAG